rnacentral:lncRNA from 1 species
GGUGCCGAACUUGAUGUGCUUAAGGCAGGUCGAAGUGGCGGGGCAUAUGACUUGAUGUACCCGAGCACUUGAUGUGUAUCGGGGAAAUCCUCGGCGACCGAGUCCGGCCAUGGGAAGUCCGAGAACUGGUAGGCUGGUUUUGGGGUCUGGAGCUUCGUGGUCUCCACGGUCUUUGUCCAGACUCCUCCAAUGCCGGCUUCGGACUCGAAGACGAUGGGGUGGAGGCCCUUAGAGAGGGUGUAUUUGGAGGCUAGGAGGCCGCUGAUCCCAGCACCAACUAUGGCUAUCUUUUUAGUCUCCAUCUCACUUUGUUCAAAUGGCUUUUCCUGUUCUGGAGAGAACUAGGUAUAUAUAUAUAUAUAUAUAUAUAAUCAAAGGUCUAAUGAUGUUGGGUGGAAAUGCACUAAGAAAAUUGAUUUGAAACCAACCACCCAUCUGUCGGUUUCUCCUGAAACAGUUCUUCAGGGAAAUAUGAUUUUACGUGUUUCACUUGCCUUUACCAAUGCUCGGUCCGGCAUUAGCAUAGCUUGGGGAACAUUAUGUGCCUAAUUCAACGCAUAUUGGCAGCCAUCGUCUUUGAACCGACCUCUUGACUAGCAUCACUUUUUUACCUUUAGAAAAUCAUCUUGAAACUGUAGAGUACAUGGCAAGCUGUCUAUUUCUUCAUCAAUAUAGUGUUUACCCGGAUUGACUUGAGGACAGAAUUAGACUUUCGAAUGUAUUGCCUAAUAAUCCACAACAGUUUUAUUUAAAUAUUUUAAUAAAAACUGUGUUUGUUUUGGAGAAAAAGUCAUGUAAAAGAUGAUGCUUUGCAGGAAACCAUUUUGUAGGAAAAAGUGUUUUUUCGAACUUUAUACAUGCAUAUUUUCUUAAUUAUAAAUGAUAAGCCGGGUGGAUUAAUAGGACUGCAUUUCUUAUUUUAACGUGCUGGUGCUCGCAGGCUCAACAUUCCCCAAGCUUCCCUCUAUAUAUUUCUCUUCCUUAAAAGGAGGGAAUACCUUUUCAAAGUUUAAAUUUAACCAGGAUGAAGCCUUUUAAGGAUUGCUUAGGUCCAUUUGGAUGAGUAAUUGCAAGUUAUACGUCUGGUAAGAUCCAUGUUUGCUUUGCUUUUAUAAUUUACUCAAAUAAUACUGUUUACGGAGUAUUUCCUUUGCCGUGAGAAAAAAUUGACUCUGUAAAGUGAAACCUUGAGCUCAAACUCUUUAACUAGAGAGAGAAUAUUUUUAUAAUGUGCAAUUGAUCUCAAUAAUCAAGUGAUAUAAGAUCAUACUUUAACACCUCAUUUGAAGUGCAAAUUAAACUAAAGUCGUAUACAAGAAGGCACGUGGAAUUGAACAAAGGGGAGUCAUAAAUGCCCAAAAACCCGAGAUAUAAAGGACUCGAAAGCCCGAUUUUAAUACUAUGUUCAAAAUUUCAACUAAAAGGUAAAUAUAUCAUACAGCAAGAUAAAAUGUAAAUAUAAGAGACAAAAGGAAUCUCCCAGAUACGCCAAGUGGUGACGUACUUUGACCGAUCUUAUCUUCCUCGGAGAUAAAUCGCUGUCUCUACGUAUCUUUCGUCUUCUUAUAUUUCAAGGUAAACUUCUUCUCUUUCCAGGCGAUCUUCUAUGCACAAACAAGAACCAGAAAAGAAUGAAAAGAGAAAAGAGGAGAGCGGCCCAUCGACGUCACUGCUAGUGGCAUCGCCGCCGGUCGAAGCUUAUCGAUGGAAGAAUUUAUUAUUGCAGAGCUUGAUUCCAUACCGACGUGGGACCAUAUGGAAAGAGCAAGAUAAUGUUUUCUUUUUCAUAUUUCCAUUUGACUUUUGUGUUCCCAACAAAAUCUGACCCUGAUCAUAUCUAUAUGAUCGUGCUGUCGAGAUGCGCGAGAACCCUUCUGUGACUCUCGUGAAGCGAAGCCGUCGAGAUGCGCGAGAAGACCAGUCCUCACCACCCGACUAUGAAAACUAUGAAAACUCUAUUAAUACGUGACUAUCGCGGCGUACUUCGUAAAACAUAAAUUAAGACCAAGAAGGAAGAAAAAGGAAGUGAAGAACAAGAACGAUGAAGAUGUAUUUUAGAGGCAAAUUCUAAUCUUCUUAUUUUCAUCCUUGUACAUGUGUAAAUUUACAAUAUAAAAUAUAAGAAUAGCAUAAAGAAUAAACAAGAUUACAAUAUGAUUAUAAUUUCCUACUUUAUCUCCGAGCAUCUUUGAUUGAAUCAAUUAAGAUGAAGGUCAAGGAUAAAAUCGUAUUUAUCUUUAAUACUCCCUCUUAAGUUAGUGCAUAGAUAUCUUGGACGUAACUUGUCAAGUGAGCUGUAAAAAAUCCUAUUUGAUGCAGCCUUCGUUAGUAUAUCCGCCAGUUGAUCUUCCGAUUUUACAUACAGAAACCAAAGAACCUUGGUAUCCAGGUUCUACUUAAUGAACAAGAUUAUGAGAAGUACCUCAGUGUGAUCUACCUCAAUGUGUUUUUUAUGGUCAUGUUGAACAAGAUUAUGAGAUAUACCGAUGGUUGCGCAGAACAACCUCAUCUCGAAGAUAGGAGCAUAACCGAGUUCCACCAUUAAUCUCUUAGGCAUAGAAGUUCGCAAAGACCUUUGUGCAUCCCCCUAAAUUCUGCUCUGCACUUGACAAUGCUACCACCUUUUACUUCUUGCUCCUCUAAGUAAUUAAGUUUCCUCCUACAAAAGUGAAAUAUCCAAGUCGACCUCCCAGCCCCGUUAGCAUCCAUAAACCCCUCAAUUUCAAGGUGCCCAUUUCAGAAAACGAAUUCCUCUUCUUGGAGGCCCCUUCAAUUAGUGAAGUAUUCUUAUCAUAGCAUCCAUAUGAACUUUAGUUAGGGCAUGCAUCAUAGUAUAAGCAAUAUCAGGUCGAGUAUGUGACAAAUAAAUUCAUUUUCCUACCAACCUUUAAUACCUUUUUUUGUUAGUUAGUACCUGAUUUGGAUACUCCCCAAAUCUAUGGUUUUGCACAAUUGGAGUGUAUGCGGAUUUACAAUCUAGCAUCUCCACUUCCACUAACAAGUCCAACACGUACUUCAUUUGCGAGAGAAAUAUUCCACCUUUAAAUUGUGCCACUUCUAUUUCUAGGAAGUACCUUAAUCCCCCAAAGUUUUUCAUCUUAAACUCCAAGAAUUUUCUCUUUUGGAGUUUAGAGAUUUCCUAUGUAUCAUCCCUGCAAUAAUCAUAUCGUUAACAUAGAUAAUUAGUAUAGUUAUCUUUCCCUAACAACAUCUUAAGAACAAUAUGUGAUUUGCACCACGCUGAAUGUACCCCCUUUUCUUCAUUGCCACAUUGAACCGAUUGAACCAAGCAUGGGGUGACUGUUUCAACUCGUAUAGAGAUUGUUCUAGCUUGCAGACUACCCCACACUGUGAAGGAAAACUAUACCUUGAUGGAAUGUCCAUAUAAAUUUCUUCUUCUAGAUCGCCAUGAAGGAACGCGUUAUUGACAUCGAACUGGUGCAAUGGCUAGUCUAGAUUCACCACCAGAGAAGUAAAACCUGAACAUUGUUGAGCUUUACGACAGGGGAAAAUGUCUCUUGAUAGUCUACCCUAUAUGUCUUCGUGUAUCCCUUCGGUACUAGCUUUGCUUUGUAUUUCUUGACGGAACCAUCCCCUUUAUAUUCAACCAUUAAAACCCAUUUGCACCCCACCAUCUUCUUCCCUUCAGGCAACUCUACCAAUUUCCGAAGUCUUGUUCUUUUGCAAUGCCUCCAUUUCCUCCUCCUUUGCUUGAACCCACUUUGGGUCUUCCAAAGGCUUUUGCAUCCUAAUUGGGAUGUGAAUUGAAGAAACAUUCAACAAAAAUGCUUUUAGUGGUUUUGAUAGUCUCCUUGUUAAAACAUAGUUUGCAAUAGGGUACUUAGAUCUUUUCCCCUAAGCAUCCAUUGAGUACCGGUCAGGAGGCUUGCCCCUAUUAUACCUAUCAAGUAACUUAUAUUCCAUAGAUAUAUCAGAAUCAUCAAGCAAAUAAGACAUAGUAGUAGGAGAAGUCACCUCAAGAAUAUCCUCAGAAGAUGAUUCAAAUUCGAAUAUUGAAGAGGGAGAAGUUGUUCUUGUAUAUUUGGUUCUUAUACAUCCCUAAUUGCCGAUUGUGGAGCUUGCUCAUUUUCACCAUUUUUUGGUGGUUGCUUUCCAUUUUUCAGCGGCAUUCCCACCGGUUGCUACUCAUUUUCGGGCUGCACCUCUUGCGUUCCUCUUGUCCUCUAGACAUGACACCACCCACUUGCCACCAAUUCACACUUUCUUCCUAUAUUUCCCCUUGAAAGGAAGAAUUGGUGCCAAGAUAAUUUUUUUUUUUUAACUCAACAAAACAUGACAUCUAUUGUCACAUAGUUCUUUUGGUAGCUAGGUGAUAGCAGCGAUAACCUUUCUGAUGUGUACUAUAUCCCAAGAAAAUACAUUGAGCAGGAUAAGGAUCAAGUUUGGUCCGGUGAAUCUUUGAAAUAUGGAUAUAACCGACACACCCAAACACCUAAGGUGAAACAAACAAGACAGUUGGCAAGGUAGCAUGUGUAGACAGUACUUGUAGAGGUGUCUUGAAAUCCAGUACCUUGGAUGACAUUCGAUUUUGGAGGUGAACAUAUGUCGCAACUGCAUUGUCCCAAAAGCAUUUAGGAACGCGACCUUUGGUGAGAAGGGCACAAGUGAUCUCUAAGAUGUGUUUUUGCUCCGCUACUCCAUUCUAUUGUGGUGUCCGAAAACAUGAUGUCUCAUGCAGUAUAGGUCAUGUUCCUAAAAAUAUUCCUUAGGUUGUGCAUUAAUGUGCUCUUCACCAUUAUCACUUCUCAAAAUUUGUAACUUCCCACUAGAUUGUGUUUGCACCAUUAAUAAACACUCGAAAAAUAUUAACCACCUCAUCCUUGUGUUCCAAAAAAUAGAGCCAAGUCAUUAUGAUGUGAUCAUCCAUAAAUAUAACAAACCAACAUCUUCUGGAAACUGCAGAUCGGGAGAAGGCCCCAAAUAUCAAAUGGACUAAGGAAAACACAACACUACUCUUAUUCAAAUUGAUUAGAAAUGGCAUGUAAUGGCUUUUAGCCAAUAUACAAGUCUGACAUUGAAAAAUUGAAUAUGAUAAAUUAGAAAACUACUUCAGGAAGUAAAUGGCUCAUAUAGUCAAAUGAAGGAUGCCCCAAUCGGCAAUGCCAUAGCCAAAUCUGCUUCCCCUUUAAUCUAAUAAGCGUCGCACCUAGUGCACCCUCCCAAAACUAAAGUCAUUCAAGUAAUAGAGCCCCCCACUUAGUAUCACGUCCCUUUGUGAAAAUAUCUUCCCCCACUUAGCAUCACGUCCCUUUGUGAAAAUAUCCUAAAAAAGACAAAAUUGUGGGUACAUCAAAGUAGCACAAUUAAGAUCUUUAGCCGCCUGCCCCACUGAUAUUAAUUUUUGUGGACAACGAUGGCAUAAGUAAAGUGUUCAGUAAAGAUAUAGAAGGGAAAUAGCAACGGUUAUAGUGUCUUUUAUUGGAUAUAUAAUCCCAUUAGCAUUUGAAAUAUUCUGCCACAUUGAUUUAGUAAGACUGACAAAAUCAUCUAUUGUGAAGGUCAUUUGAUCUGUAGCACUUGAAUCAAUAAUCCAUCGACUACAUUUAUUUUGAGAGUUACUAAUGAAAUCAUGAGCAUAAUUACCUUCACAUCCAGUGGUUGACUUCCUGUUCGGUUUUACCCGUGCUAUUAGCGAUAGCUAAGCUUCCCUUUUCCGCCAUUCGCUGCACUCUUUGCUUGUUUGCGUGCCUUCACCUCCUUCCACCAAUCAGGAUACCCAAUCAAUUUGAAACAUGUUUCUUGGGUAUGCUUCACACUCCCACAAUUGGAGCAGCCACCAACUCUUGUUGAUGAAGAUUUGCUUCACAGUGCUCCACUUGGUUGACCUCAACCUGUCAAACCACCUCACUUUGUCAUUUGUAAAGCCGACAUUUGUCAAGUUCGGUAAAAGGUCUGUGGUCCUACCUUACUUCCUCAAGAUACCAUAGCUGCAGACGAGUGUGUGGUAUCUUUGUGUGCCAGCAUCACACUCUGUCGUAUGUCCUCCCAUCGAACAUGAGUAUAGGCCUGCUCAACUAUGGGAAAAGGCUGCAUUUGAAGCUCAUUCGCUUGAACUUUAUCCAAGUAGUCAUCCCACAUAUCAAGGGAGAUGUAGGCCCGAUCUUCCUAAAUAGCUGAAUUAUAUUGCUUGAUAUCGAUAGGGCAAACCAUCGGAUUUGGGUGGCGGAAGCCAAUCUCGCCACGAACCUUGCAAACCAUUGUAAUAAGUCUUAGUAGGUCCUCUAGAUGUCUCAUCCUAGUCACAUGUUGUUUAAGAUCAUAAACCUAGGAUGCAUCAAUUCCAUCAAAAAGGAGGUAGCAAUUGAAUCCCAACCUUUGUGGUUGGGAAUUGGAUAAAAUUCCCCAUCAAGGCGGGUUCCAUCAAGUUUAUCAACCAUCCCUUCACUAUGGAGUCCCCAUUUUCCAUUUGCGAAAUUCGGGAUCAAUAGGUUUAGGCUAAGAAAGGUCUCCAUUGAUAUUCUGCCAUUUAUCUUUCCUUGAGAUGUACAUCUUGACAACUUGGGGCCAUAAACAAUAAUUGGUCCCAUCCAACUUUAUUGAAAUUUGUGGUGGCUCAAAAUCUCCUUUAUUCAAUUCAUCAAAUCCUCCAAAAAAGCAAUGGUAGGAUUGGAGGUCUCUCCUUGCCCCUAAUGAGGCACCAUAUCACCAUGGCCUGACAUAGCUUCAGGUCACUCUCCUAGACGGUUCUCCAACGGAAUCAAGCUACUACCGUCUACAUUGGUGGAUGGGGAACUUGCAAAUGGGUUGGUAGUAAUUUGAACAAUAGCGCAUGGAGUAGUGACGAUCUGGGUCGUGACGAUUUGGGCAAAGAUGUUGCUACUUGGGACAAGUUGGAGUAGUGUUGGUCUACGUGGCGUCGGUGUGAGGAUCAGAGCGAUGUCAAACUAACUUCCCUUAGAUCGACGUUGGUCAAAUUGUGGCACAAGAAAGCUUACGAUAGUGGUGUGACUCGAAAGUAAGUAUGGUGAGUCUGGUUAGUAAUGGAGGGGCAAUUGCAACGGCACGGUAAUCAGAACAGUGCGGCGGCGGCGAUAAUAACAUUAUGUUUUGAGAUUUAAUUGCCAGAUGUCAUAUAGAUAGUUUGUGAUGCUUCCUGCCUGUGGCUUUCCAUUGUUUCAACACUAGCGAGUUUGAUUUUUUCUGGUAAUCUCGUACUCCAAUCUUUAACAGCAAUACUGAUGAAUUCUCUGAUUCUGUAUGCAGCUUGUUCAUCUGCAAUAAGGAAUGACUCGCUGGACUCCUAUUUACAUGUUGCUAAUGGAACUUAUGUCUUCACUGCUAACAAUUGUGUGAUGUGCACCUGCGACGCAGCAAAUAACUGGACGUCAGUAUUACCAUUCUAGAAUUUCUUUAGAUCACGUCCUUCUUGUGGACAAUCUUCCAGUAAUUCUUCUCUUUCCAAACAAUCUCUCAGAAUUUAUGAUUCAUUUCCCUAUACAUGAACAGAUUACAUUGCUAGGCAUCCUAGCUUAAGCCAUCUAAUCAGUCGGCUUGCCCCUCAAUGCAAUGCGAGGGUUCAAAUUUACUCCUGGGCAACUCAACUUCGACAUCUUGUAACCGCACAACCUGUGCCUAUGCUGGUUAUAUGAACCAGACUAUUCUAACAGUGCUCGUCAACGAUAACACUUGUCCAGGUACACACUCAAAAUUCAUGAUGGCUAUGAAGUAAUGAACCUGAUGAAGAGAUCACUUCACCUACCCCAUAGUACGCAUUUGUUUCGAAUAGCCCACUAAAAGCUUUAUAACUGUUGGAAAUGGUGAUCCAUUUUCUAGAAUCUCCUAGAGUUGCUAAACUUCUAGAAUUCCCUAGAUGAAGUUUCUGGAAGAAAGAGAAAAAUGUAGAAGCACAUGUGUAGAUCUCUCUAGAAGAAGAGAGGAUAAACUACAAUCUAAAACUCUCUAGAUUAAGCCAAAGUGGACAACAUUCUACACAAAUCUAGAAUGUUGGUAGAGCACCCUAUAAAUAGGAAAGAGGGGAGAGCAUAGUAGAACAACAAAUGUAAAAGAGUGAAGGGAGCUAACCAUAAAAACCACUAGCUCCCUCACCAACACCUCCUUCAACUAUUGUAAAAUUAUUUUCAUAAACUAGUUGAAUUAUCUUUGUCCCAUAAUUUCCUAUCCUUGUCCAUUCUCUACAAACUGUAUCAUACACUUGCACACACCAUUAAUAAAAAACUAUAACUAAUACCAAAACCAUGCUUCCGCACGCUCACAUCCAAAUAUUUUUAACAUGGUAUCAGAGCCACGUCUUUGGUUGGAAUUGGGCGUUUGUCCUACCUACCCAUUCCUAAAACUACCCUUCCAAAUACCCAUAAACUAAACCAUGGCCAACCCAACCUCAUCCUCAUUUCCCAUUCCCAUUUUUGAUGGGAACAACUAUGAUUUUUGGAGCAUAAAAAUGACUACAUUCUUGAUGGCCCAAGACUUAUGGGACAUCGUGGAAAAAGGUUGCGAGGCUCCACCAGAAGGUGCAAGUGUUUCGAAGGAUCAACUACAAAAGGAUGCAAGGGCGCUAUAUUUUAUCCAACAAGCGCUCUCGGAAACUGUAUUUCCAAGAAUUAUUGGAGUGAGGACUGCAAAAGAGGCUUGGGAUAUACUACGAGAAGAAUUUCAAGGAUCGGAAAAGGUACGCACUAUUCGCCUUCAAACUCUAAGAAGAGAUUUUGAGAAUUCUAAAAUGAAAAAUUAUGAGACCGUACAAGAAUAUGGUGGAACGAAGACGGAAUAAAAGACAUGAGACAAACUACAAUAUCCGAAGUAUCCCGAAAAUGGAUCAAGGGGGAGUGUUGGAAAUGGUGAUCCAUUUUCUAGAAUCUCAUAGAGUUGCUAAACUUCUAGAAUUCCCUAGAUGAAGUUUCUGGAAGAAAGAGAAAAAUGUAGAAGCACAUGUGUAGAUCUCUCUAGAAGAAGAGAGGAUAAACUACAAUCUAAAACUCUCUAGAUUAAGCCAAAGUGGACAACAUUCUACACAAAUCUAGAAUGUUGGUAGAGCACCCUAUAAAUAGGAAAGAGGGGAGAGCAUAGUAGAACAACAAAUGUAAAAGAGUGAAGGGAGCUAACCAUAAAAACCACUAGCUCCCUCACCAACACCUCCUUCAACUAUUGUAAAAUUAUUUUCAUAAACUAGUUGAAUUAUCUUUGUCCCAUAAUUUCCUAUCCUUGUCCAUUCUCUACAAACUGUAUCAUACACUUGCACACACCAUUAAUAACAAACUAUAACUAAUACCAAAACCAUGCUUCUGCACGCUCACAUCCAAAUAUUUUUAACAAUAACACUUUAACAUACCUGUUAUUCUUAAUUUGAUCCUUGAUUUUUCCUAUAAGUUUUUACUAUAAAAGCUGGAAAAAAUUAAUAUUUUGACAAAAAUACUGGACUGUACUUUUUCCCAAGUUGAUGCAAAAGCCCUCUGUCUAGAGCUUUGUUUGCAUUGUUUUGGAUAUGCACCAUGGCCACAAGUUUUUUCGGUUGCGAUGCACUGCAUGUCUUUAGAUUUGCCAAAAUAUAAAAUAUAAUUGCACACAUGAGCUAAAAAUGAUAGAACUUGCUGCCGGAAUCAAUUGUUUUAUAGAAUUGUUGAUUAUCCCUAUGGCCGACUGUUAGCAAUGAGGUCGAAUUGUCUACUCUUUAUACUUUCUUCACCUAUAAAUUACUGGCACGUCAGUCAUUGUGAUUUGUAGUCCACUACCUAUACUUCCCUAAUAUUUUAGGGGCUUGUUUUGUAAACAGUUUCAAAUAGCUUCGCCAUGAAGGACAGUUUUCGGGCAUUUAGCUGGAACGUCUUCCUGAUUUUGAUCCUGCCCCUGCUCUCUUUCCAUCAUAUUCAGUGAUGACAUUUGUAUCAAAGACUGUCACCCUCGAUGCUUACUUCUAUGUCUGUCACCUUCAAUACACGCCGGUACGUCUGUAAGUGUUGCGCAUGUCACAGAGAUGUGAGGUGCCUGUUUUAUCCUUUGGCACUUCUGUACCAUAGAAUUGUAGCUUCCCUUGUUCCAAUGGAAAAAUUCGAUUCUUCUUUUUGGGGGUUCCAUUCUUAGAUGGCUAGAAUGUUUGCUAGUUUAGAUGGCCUGGAGUUGUGCAAUGUUGAAACUCUAUUGCACAAACUCUAUUGCACCUUCAAGAAUUCGAUGUUGUCGUCGCCAAUGUGUCCAGACUUGCGAUUUUUUUUUUCUUUAUUCAUUUUCUGCAAUGGCAACGUAUGCGAUUUUGCUGUUCAAUUUGAAUCCCCAUUCCAAUUGUCCUCUGCGAUGACUCAAGCACGUAUAACUAGGUUCUAGUGAGUACUUGAUUUCUUCCUGUGGCUCAUACGAGAAGUGCUUGACUAUUUCAAUUUCUCCUCUCCAUCAUAUGUCUACACCUUUAAUUCAUGUUAUUGUCAUGGAAGGAUCGUACAACUUAAAGUGAUGGAAACUUGAUUGAAUCGUAUCUCAUUGUAGGAGUUGGUUUGAGGUUGUAGAUCAAUGGUUGAAUCCUCAAAUUUAGGGCAAGCUAGAAUUUUGUGCUCCAAGAACAAUCAUAGAUUAUUUAGUGCAAAAUAUGACUUCACAUCAGUAAGAGAAGGGGAAGAAAGUUUGCUGAACAUGGAAUACAAAGGGGAAAAAUGAUGAUACACGCACAUUUCAUCUUCAUGGAGAGACAUAAUCUGUUGGGCCAUAAGGCUCAAACAGCUCAGCAAAGAAUCCCUUCUUUCUCUUAGGGUUCCAUCCCAUGUCUCUGCACAGUUGAUCAUUGUACCAAAUGUGAAGUGCAGCAAUGCAUGAUCUUCUGUAGUAUGGACCUGAAGAUCGCUUCAUGUACUUGUCCCACUCUUCUAUAUCCUCCUCCAUCUCGGAAGGUAGCUUGAACGUACCUGCGAGAAGCUCGGCUAGCCACCGGCACCGUAUCUCUGAUGUGUACAAGUUUGCAGCACUUUCUGAGAACCCGAUCACUGCUAGUUGGGGAAUUCGGGGAUGGAUGCAUGCUCUGAGAGGAUGAGAUCACAUAAUUUAGUCCAUGACAGUAACCAUAGAGAAAUAACACAGGCCACUCAUCUUUUGGCUGAACUUUCCAAAGCAAAAAGUGCACAGUUUCAUGCUUAAAAGUUUUCCAGCUAUAAUUUUUGCAAAGACAUUCUCAGAAAAAAAGUUGAGAUGAACGAUGAGAAACCAAAGACAUUCCCAGGAAAGAAAAAAGGACGAAUAAGUAGACAAAAUUUUCACUAAAUAUGAAGACAAAAAUCAUUCCCAAAACCAAAUGCACCUAAAUCUCCAUGAGAACCCAGGACACAGGAUCAGAUUAGCUUAUAGCAGGAGGGAAUUCUAGGGCAAUACCUGUAUAGUGGAACUAUUGAAUUAGGAGAUCCAGAUAAGCAGUCCUGAAACAGUUGCGACUCAAACAAAUCUAGGAGCUUCUUUUCGCCCCUAAACCCAGUCGCGAGGAUGACCAAGUCUGAAUUCAGAGGCUCGACCUCUCCAUCGAUUGAAAUCCCGUUCUUGCAGAAUCCGAAUGCUGGGGCCUUCUUCAAGAUUAUGCUUCCCUCUUCCACCCUGUCGUAGAAUUUUUCGGGUACGGUCGAGAUCAAGCAGGAGCUGAUUUCUUGAAGGAAACUGUGUUUUGGCACCAUCCCGAACUUCUUCAACCGAAGCUUUCGCUUUAUGUGGCUUUCAACAAACUUGGAAAUCGCCCAUCUCUGUCAUUGAAGUGGAUCGUAUUACACGAACAGCAUGUAACAGCUAAUGAAUUUAAUCAUAUGAAGCACUUAAUCUGAAUAAUUUCGAAUUCAAAUUUAUUACUCCACGUGGAUAAUUCUGAAUCCAAGUUUCUGUGACCAAAAUUACUGGCUCGAUAUUACUAAAUGGUGAAAGAAAUUCCCCUUGCAGAUCUAAUUAAGAAGGCGCCUAUAUCACUGUAGGCGGACAAAUCGACAUUUGUUUGGAAAGAACAAUCACUGUGAUGAGAAGUUUCAAGAGAUCUAUCUCGUCGCGUACCAGGGGCGUUAAAAGCGUGGCCAUGAGGCUCAACAACAAGCCCUCUCUGGGCUUAUGCACGAGGAGCUCCGAGAAGCGGGUGAGGUAGAGAAGUGCGAGAGGCACGCCCCACGGUAGAUAAUCCGGCACGUUCCAGUGUUCCGUCUUGUACAACACCGUACAAGGCCGCUCCACUCCUGCAGGACAAAAAUUUCAUCCAAAAGGAAGUUGCCACAAAUCCACUCUUGUCAAAAUGCCGGAGCUGGAGGAGCGGCUUGCACACAGUGAAGAAAAUUUAAUGCUGCGACGACUAGGCUUCAGUUUAAGGAAUGUUGAAAUUCAGGGAUUUCGCACUUACCAUUAACAGCUGAGCACUCCAUGGCAAUGUCCAAUGCGGAUUUCUGCAGCCCGACGACCACCACUGUCUUGCCACUGACGAACUCCUUCGCAGCUUGGUAGGUCCAUAGCUGCGUAGUCCAUGGAGUGGAUCACCUUGCUAUGGAACGCCUCCGGGGCCUCUGUUCGGUGGAAACUCCGGUAUGUUCGGAAUGCCACUGAAUCGCCCAACACAAAGAAUCACAAAGUCCACUUUCAUACGUCUGUCAUUGUCAUUAGAUGGUAAGGUAUAGAAACUAAGAAAUUGCUACCGAGCAAUCAUUAACACAAAAUGGAAAUGAAAAUUGUAACCCAUUGCCGGUCUAAAUAGGUAUUGGCAUGAGACAGUAACAUGAAACUGCAUUAAGAAGAGCAACCCCCAAUUAUGCAAUAACAGGAAGCAUACGUCUACCUCAGUUUCAAGGCUCAGACAAUCCUGCACUCUGAUCUUCCACUUCCCAUCCGAGCUGAAUGGCCUGCCGUCACCGCCCCACAGGCUCCAUGACUGCAUCGCCUCACCAGGUGGCCCCUCGUACCUGAUGCUAAGGACCCUGGUGCCGAACUUGAUGUGCUUAGGCAGGUCGAAGUGGUGGGCAUAUGACUUGAUGUACCCGAGCACUUGUUGUGUAUCGGGGAAAUCCUCGGCGACCGAGUCUGGCCAUGGGAAGUCCGAGAACUGGUAGGUUGGUUUUGGGGUCUGGAGCUUCGUGGUCUCCACGGUCUUUGUCCAGACCCCUCCGAUGCCGGCUUCAGACUCGAAGACGAUGGGGUGGAGGCCCUUAGAGAGGGUGUAUUUGCAGGCUAGGAGGCCGCUGAUCCCAGCACCAACUAUGGCUAUCUUUUUAGUCUCCAUCUCACUUUGUUCAAAUGGCUUUUCCUGUUCUGGAGAGAACUAUAUAUGUAUUUAUGCACUUGCUCAUGAUCAUGGUUUAAAUAAAUCGAUUUUGUUCGAAAAUACAGGUUAUGACAAUAAAUCUAGUUCAAUAAUUGUGAAACGUUUAAUUACUCGAAUGUAUCAACAGAAUCCUUUGUUUUUUUUUUUCAGCUAAUGAUUCUAUCUAAAAUCCAUUUUUUGGGCAAAACAAGAAUUUUUAUUCUCAUAUUAUCUCCGAGGGAUUUGCAGUCAUUGGGGAAAUUCCAUUUUCCGUAUAAUGAGUAUCUUCCUUAGAAAGGAAAGAAAUAGCAAAAUCUCAUAAAUUACAAGCAAUUCUAACCAUAUUUCCUUUUUUAGAGGACAAAUUUUCACAUUUAGAUUAUGUGUCGGACGUACUAAUACCCUAUCACAUCCAUCUAGAAAUCUUGGUUCAAACCCUUCGCUACUGGGUGAACGAUGCCUCUUCUUUGCAUUUAUUACGUUUCUUUCUCCACGAGUAUUGGAAUAGUCUUAUUACUCAAAAGAAACAUAUUACCAUUUCUUCAAAAGGUAAUCCAAGAUUAUUCUUGUUCUUAUAUAAUUCUCAUAUGUGUGAAUAUGAAUACUUCUUUCUUUUUCUCCGUAAUCAAUCUUCUCAUUUACAGUCAAGAACUUCUGGAAUCUUUUUUGAGUGAAUAUAUUUCUAUGUAAAAAUAGAACAUUUUGUCAAAGUCUUCUUUGAUAAUGAUUUUCAGUGCAUCCUAUGGUUCUUCAAAGAUCCUUUCAUGCAUUAUGUUCGAUAUCAAGGAAAAUCAAUUCUGGCUUCAAAAGAUACGCCUCUUCUGAUGAAGAAAUGGAAAUAUUACCUUGUUAAUUUAUGGCAAUAUCAUUUUUACGCCUGGUUUCAACCAGGAAGGAUCGAUAUAAACCAAUUAUGUAAGUAUUCUCUUGACUUUUUCAACAAUACCAUUGUGACUGUUACAGAUGUACGGGGUCGGGUAAUGUCUUGGUCCUUCGCCAGUACUUGUGGAUGGAUUCAAUGGUACAAGAAGGGGGACACCAUUUGCUACUCAAACCGCAGCAGGAAAUGCUAUUCGGACAGUAGUAGAUCAAGGUAUGCAACGAGCAUAAGUCAUGAUAAAAGGUCCUGGUCUCGGAAGAGAUGCAGCAUUAAGAACAAUGUGUGAUUUGCACCACUUCGAAUGUACCCCGUUUUCUUCAUCGCCACGUUGAACUGGUUGAACCAAGCACAGGGUGACUAUUUCAACUCGUAUAGAGAUUGUUCCAUCUUGCAGACCACCCCACGCUGUGAAGGAAAACUAUCGUGACACCCCUCGACGGCCCCCGAUCGUUCGGAUCGCCACACUUCUUUCCUUAUCCUGGAUGUCCUUUAUUCUGAUACCCUUGGAUUUCGGUGAAUCCGUGAGUCUGGGGGUCUAUCACAUUUCUCAUUGGUCCUUAUGCAAUAAUAUGGUGGAAGCGGAUCCAACAACUCCCUUCCUUAAACACUAAAAUGAUGCACACUAGAUACACAAAUAAUAACUAGGCACUUUUUUUUUAUUGACAUAAACUUGAUAGACAUCUUUUGUCGGUACAACAAAAGCCAAAGUUUCCUAUACUUGGCUAUAUCAAAAACUAGACCGACAUUUUCCAUAAGCUAUACACAAGUCAUCUAUCAGUGAGCGUCGGUGUCCAAAAAUUUCGCUACUGACCUCGCGUCCUUCGUCACUCCAUUAUGCUCGAGCCUCCGUCAUUAUCCUCUGGCGAUGGUGACUUUAUCACUCUAUAAUAUGUUAGUCCCCACAAUGGGUGAGUAAGACUACUCAACAGUCAAAAUUCUACUAAACUAUAUUACGGAGCCUAUCGUCAUCCAAUUCCACGCAAUCCAAAUCAAUACCCAUAAUAGUAGUAAUAAACAUGCAUUAAAUCAAUAGAGUUUUCCAACGAAAUGGCAAACGCAGUUUAAAAAUCGAAACAUAUCAUUUCAAUCACAUGAAUCCUGAUUAUAAGGCCAAACCGUUAUGACACGUCCCAUAUUGUGCCGCACAAUUUUGUCCCAUAAUUAGGCGCAACUAUCAAAAUGGCGUAGCUUAGCAGAACAAUCAACUUUAAAACUCAAUAGAUUUUUGAUUCACUAUCACUAUCUCCCGGAGGACCAGUGUUUGCAUCCCUCCAGGCAUUCGCACCCAACCUAGCGUCAUGAAAGCCUCCGGUUCCAUAUUUCAGUCACUAGGCAUCCAUAGCAUGUUAUGUUUCACCUCCAGGCAUCUCACACCUAACCUAGCAUCACGAUAAAUCGCUAGGGCUCACUAUGUUACUAGUGUCCCCUACCCACCAGAAUGUGUAUUGUCAUACGUCCAGGCAUCCCGACACCCGAGGAACCUCUGGGGCUCACCACGAUAAUGAUGUCCCACAUGCAUCUAGAGGCAUCAUAAUCACCAUCCUCCAGGCAACUUGUCUCCCGAGGCAUUGUCAUCUUGAGGGUCUGACAAUAGCAAAUGACACAACCACCAUGAUGUAGCAGUUAAAUCAUUUCAAAUGCCAAAAUGUUUUCAAAUCAUCAAUAUGGAAAAUCCUUUGGGUUAUCGAAAAUCCCACUUUAUGAUAUCAGGUAAUGCAAAAUAGGAAUUUCAAAGACAGCAAUACAACAACAAUAGUCUUUAAAAAUAGGUUAAUCUCAUAUCGAUGAAAUCAAUUCACGAAAUCAAAAGCUUGAUACCGAAUCCAUAAAAUUCACUCUCAUAGUUAACCCUCAAAUGUUUUUCGAAAUCCACAUGAAUAGCCUCAAGUUGCACUCGCGUCUUAUGGCUUGAAAUAAAAAGAUUUAUCAAGACCGUAAGUAAUUUGAAAUCGGCACAUCGGCAGUUGAGAAUCUUAAUUACGACCCUAAAGUUUUCAAAGUAGCACACACAUAAAAUCUUAGAGCUUUGAAAUAUCGGAAAUUAGUAUGUAUGUGGCCUCAAAUUCGGACUCGACCACAACAGUUAUAAAAUCCUUUCCCAUAUAGUUCAAAUCAACCCGAUAACCUCUGAGUUCACAAUUCAGCGCGAGUAUACCAAAAUAAUCUUAAUAUAUGGGACGGUUUCACCAAGCAACGACAUCAUUCAUGUCUUAUAGGUUAGUAGAUAUCGACUUGCUUUUGAUUUGGGCCAUCAACGACAAGGCGAAUCCGAGAGCUAUGGAUCACGAGCGUGGUCGAGACAAACUGGAUGACGAGCUGUAAGUUGGAGUCUCUUCGGGUCAGCGGUGGUUGGGGGUAAUGGUGGUGAAGAAGCCGACCGUGCGAUGGGGUGGCAAAGUGGUGCGGGUGGUCGCCGGUGAACGGCGGAGAGAGCGGAACGACACCGGAACAUUCACUGGAAUUUCCUGAAGUUUGAACGAAGAAGAGGGUCGACGGAAAAUGAAGUGCCGAGAGGAAGCUUGCGGUGGUGGGCUUAGGUGUUCGACAAUCCAAAGAAUUCGUGGCGCUCGCUAGGGAAUGCAUGGGUGAACGUGUCGCCAGCAGAAUUCUUCGUUUAGUUGACAAUUCGGUCAACACUUCUUGGAACUCCGCAGCAGCUCGAGCAAGGGACAAGUGGGGGUGUCGUGGCCAUCAUUCGGUUCUUCUAUUGCCAGCGCAAGAGGAGUUGAUGCGUGGCUUCCAUUUGGUCGAGAUCCCCGGCGUCGCUGUCCAACUGAAGAGAAGCCAACCUUCAUGCAGAGCACACGCCACCUUGCUCCCUCAUGCAAGGACGUGGCAGCCUGGUCAACUCCUUUCCAAUUGUUGACCCACGAAGACGAAGAGGAGGGACGUGCAUGGCUGCUGCAUGGGUCAACUCCUCCGUUUAUAAAUCAACGAGAAGAAGGGAACGUAUACGGGAAUUCAGGGUCAAUGGUCUUCAUUCCUUGGCUGUCCAUGAAGAAGAAAACGUGGUGGUGGUGUGGCCAAGGUCUUUGGAUGGAACUGCAUGGUCUAAUGUGGCUGAAGUUUCGAAAGUCUACGUCUCCGCGUGUAUGAAAAGCUCACUUAAUAAGGUAUCAAUGCCGAAGAUGUUAGCCUUGCGAGUGACGUCACAUGAAAAAAAUUCCUAGAUGAGGUACUAUCGCGAGAACGUGACGAAAAGUGAUGUUUCGAUACAGUGAAUGUGGUGACAAAACGGCAUUCACAAAUGGUGCCAAUGAUGUAGUCUGACAACAAAUUCGUCAAUUUGUCUCGGACAGUUAUAUAUUCGAGGUCCGGCAAAAUCUGGAUGUCACAACUAUACCCUGAUGGAAUGUCCAUAUAAAUUUCUUCUUCCAGUUCGCCAUGAAGGAAUGCAUUAUUGACAUCAAACUGGUGUAAUGGCUAGUCUAGGUUUGCCACUAGAGAAGUAAAACCCAAGCAAUGUUGAGCUUUUUGAUAGGGGAAAAUGUCUCUUGAUAGUCUACUCUAUAUUUCUUUGUGUAUCCCUUUGCUACUAGCUUUGCUUUGUAUUUUUGGAUGGAACCAUUUUCCUUAUAUUUAACCAUGAAGAUCCAUUUGCACCCCACCAUCUUCUUCCCUUCAAGCAACUCCACCAACUUCCAAGUCUUGUUCUUUUGCAAUGCCUCCAUUUCCUCCUCCUUCUCCUGAGCCCACUUUGGGUUUUCCAAAGCCUUUUGCAUCCUAAUUGGGAUGUGAACUGAAGAUACAUUCAACACAAAUGCUUUUAGUGGUUUAGAUAGUCUCCUUGUCGAAACAUAGUUUGUAAUAGGGUACUUGGAUCUCUUCCCCCAAGCAUCCAUUGAGUACUGCCUAGGAGGCUUGCCCUUAUUAUACCUAUAAGGUAACUUAUAUCCCACAGAUAUAAUAGAAUCAUCAAGCAAAAAAGAUGUAAUAGGAGAAGUCACCUCAAGGAUAUCCUCAAGAGAUGAGUCAAAUUCGGAUGUUGAAGAGAGAGGGGGUUGUUCUUGUAUAUUCGGUUCUUAUACAUCCCCAAUUGCUGGUUGUGAAGCUUGCUCAUUUUCACUUUGCCGGUUGCUUUCCAUUUUUCAACGACAUUCCCACCGGUUGCUCCUUAUUUUCGGGUUACACCUCCUACGCUUCCUCCUGUCCUCUAGACAUGUCACCACCAACUUGCCACCAAUUCACAAUUUCUUCCUAUAUUUCCCCUUAAAAGGAAGAAUUGGUGCUCGGAUAAAAAAAUCUAACUCAACAAACGUGACAUCUAUUGUCACAUAGUUUCUUUUGGUAGCUAGAUGAUAGCAGCGAUAACCCUUUUGAUGUGUACCAUAUCCCAACAAAAUGCAUUGAGCAGGACAAUGAUCGAGUUUGGUUUGGUGAAUCUUUGAAAUAUGGUCAUAAGUGACACACCUAAACACCCAAGGGGAAACAACCAAGACAUAUGGCAAGAUAGCAUGUGGAGACAAUACUUGUAGAGGUGUCUUGAAAUCUAGUACCUUGGAUGGCAUUUGAUUUAAGAGGUGAAUAGAUGUUGCAAUUGCAUUGUCCUAGAAGCAUUUAGGAAUGUGACCUUCGGUGAGAAGGGCACAAGCGAUCUCUAAGAUGUGUUUGUACUUCUACUCCGCUACUCUAUUCUAUUAUGGUGUUCGAAAACAUGACGUCUCAUGUAGUAUAGGCCAUGUUCCUAAAAAUAUUCCUUAAGUUGCGCAUUGAUGUACUCUCCACCAUUAUCACUUCUCAAAAUUUGUAACUUCCCACCAGACUAUGUCUGCACCAUUUAAUGAAACACUCGAAUAAGAUUAGCCACCUCAUCCUUGUAUUUCAAAAAAUAGAGCCAAGUCAUUAUGAUGCGAUCAUCUAUAAAUAUAACAAACCAACAACUUCUUGAAAGUGCUGAAACGGGAGAAGGCCCCAAAUAUCAAAUGGACUAAGGAAAACACAAUACUACUCUUAUUCAAAUUGAUUAGAAAUGGCAUGCGAUGGCUUUUAGCCAAAAUACAAGUCUGACAUUGAAAAAUUAAAUCUAAUAAAUUAGAAAAAUAAUUGAGGAAGUAAAUGUCUCAUAUAGCCAAAUGAAGGAUGCCCCAAUUGGCGAUGCUAUAGCCAAAUCUACUUCCCCUUUCUAUCAAAUAAGCAUCGCACUAGGUGCACCCUCCCAAAACUGAAGUCGUUCAAGUAAUAGAGCCCCCCACUUAGUAUCACGCCCCUUUGUGAAAAUAUCCUGAAAAAGACAAAAUUGUGGACACAUCAUAAUAGCAUAAUUAAGAUCUUCAGCCGCUUGCGCCAUUGAUAUUAAUUUUUGUGGACAACAAUAACGUAAGUAAAGUGUUCAAUAAAGAUAUAGAAGGGGAAAUAGCAACGGUUCUAGCACCUAUCAUUGGAUAUAUAAUCCCAUUAGCAUUUGAAAUAUUCUGCCACAUUGAUUUAGUAAGAUUGACAAAAUCAUCUAUUGUGAAUGUUAUAUGAUAUAUAACACUUGAAUCAAUAAUCCAUUGACUGCAUUUAUUCUGAGAGCUACUAAUGAAAUCAUGAGCAUAAUUACCUUCGCAUCCAGUGGUUGACUUACUGUUUGAUUCUAUCUGUGGCAUUAAUGAUAGCUGAGCCACCAUUUGCUACACUCUUUGCUUGUUUGUGUGCCUUCACCUCCUUUCAUCAAUCAGGAUACCCAAUCAAUUUGAAACAUGUUUCCCGGGUAUGCUUCGCACUCCCACAAUUGGAGUAGCCACCAACCGUUGUUGAGGAAGAUUUGCUUCACAGUGCUCCACCUAGUUGACCUCCUCCUAUCAAACCACCCCGCUUUGUCAUUUGUAAAGUCGGCAUUUGCCAAGUUCGGUAAAGGGUCUGUGGUCCUACCUUGCCUCCUCAAGAUACCAUAGCUGGAGACGGGUGUGUGGUAUCUUCGUGUGCCCGCAUCACACUCUGUUGUAUGUCCUCCUAUCGAACACGAGCAUAGAGGCUUGCUUAACUAUGGGAAAAGGCUGCAUCCGAAGCUCGUUUGCUUGAACUUUAUCCAAGUAGUCAUCCAACCUGUCAAGGAAGAUAUAGACCCGAUCUUCCUAAAUAGCUUAAUUAUAUCUCUUGAUAUCAGUAGGGCAAACCAUCGGAUUUGGGAAGCCAAUCUCUCGCCACUAACCUUGCAAACCGUUAUAAUAAGUCUUAGUAGGUCCUCUAGAUGUCUCAUCCUAGUCACACAUUGUUUAAGAUCAUAAACCUUGGAUGCAUCAAUUCCAUCAAAAAAGGAGGUAGCAAUUGAAUCCUAACCUUUGCGGUUGGGAAUCGGAUAAAAUUCCCAAUCAAGGCGGGUUCCAUCAAGUUUAUCAACCAUCCCUUCACUGUGGAGUCCCCAUUUUCCAUUUGCGAAAUUUGGGAUAUCAAUAGGUUCAAGCUGAGGAAGGUCCCCAUUGAUGUUCCACCAUUUAUCCUUCCUCGAGAUGUACAUCUCGACGACUUGGGGCCAUAAACAAUAAUUGGUGCCAUCCAACUUUAUUGAAAUCUAUGGAGUAUAUGACUCAUUUAGUGGUGUUUGAUUAUGGGUUUUAUUUUGGCUCAAAAUCUCUUUUAUUUGAUUCAUCAAAUCCUCCAAAAUAGCAAUAGUAGGAUUGGAGGUCUCUCCUUGCCCUUGAUGAGGCACUGCAUCACCUUGGCUUGACAUAGCUUCAGGUCACUCUCUUGGGCAGUUCUCCAACAGAAUCAAGUUGCUACCGUCUACAUUGGUGAAUGGGGAACUUGCAGAUGAGUUGGUAGUAUUUCAAAUGAUAACGCAUGGAGUAGUGAUGAUUUGGGUUGUGACGCUUUGGGCAGAGACGUUGCUACUUGUGACAAGUUGGAGUAGCGUUGGUCUAACAUGGUGUCGGUGUGAGGAUCAGAGCGAUGUCAAACUAACUUCCCUUAGAUCAACGUUGGUCAAAUUGUGGCACAAGAAAGCUUAUGAUAGUGGCGUGACUCGAAAGUAAGUAUGGUGAGUUUGGUCAGUAAUGGAGGGGCAAUUGCAACGGCACAGUAAUUAGAACAACGCGGCAGUAGCGGUAACAGCAACGGAAUCCUAGCUGUUAGGUCUGGUCGGUCUGAUUAGAUCUUGUUUGGGUCGAUUUCAGAGUCCUUGAUUCAACUCUACUUUGAUACCAUGUUAAAACAUAAACAAGAACAAGAAGGAAGAAGAAAGGAAGUGAAAAAUGAGAAUGAUGAAGAUGGAUUUUUGGGGCAAAUUCUAAUCUUCUUUUCAUCCUUAUACAUGUAUAAAUUUAUAAUACAAAAGAUAAGAAUAAUGAAGAACAAACAAAAUUACAAUAUCAUUACAAUUUCUUACUUUAUCACCGACUAUUUGUGAUUGAAUCAAUUAAGAUCAAGGUCAAGAAAAAAUUGCAUCUAUCUCCAACAGUACUUACUUUCUUAGUGUUUCAAGAGUGUCAUGAAAUAUCCUGUUUCAGUGCAGGGAGAAGCUUUUUCGCAUUCUCAAGGUGCCACAUGAAUGACAAAAAUAUCAUCUACCAAAUUAGACAACAAUCAGGCUCCUAGACCAUCUGGGCUUUUCUCUACCACAUGGUAGUUUUUGCUCGAUUCCUUUGUGUUGACGCCCUCUUCAGCGUUUCUUUCGUUCCAAUCCUCCCCAUCAAUCUCAGUUCUCCUCGAUGUGAAGAUGCUGUCCCCAACCGACCCCCGUUCUACCUUCCCUAGUCGUAUCCCUCACACUGUCAAACCUUAUAAACUCUUUUAACCCUCUCGAGCCAAUAUCUCUUUAUUAAUUCCCCCUCCAAACCCUAAAUCAAUUCUGGGCUCUAUUCGCUUCUACUUGCCUACCAUAUCCUUCAUCUUGCACAUCCCUUUCAAAACCUUAAACUUCGGCCCCAAGUUAUCUGACCCUUACAAUAGGCCGAAACCCACCAACUACCCCUUGCUCAACCUCUUCAUUCGUUUUCCCUAGCCAUAGCCCAACCCCAUCCACCUUUCCUCACAUCUCUCCCUGUCCGUCUUUCACCACUCCCUCCAUGGUUUUGUCUUGCCUCUAUUUACUUGGCCCAACUUCCCUUGCAGAAAAUCAGUAAGUUCACUGAGAAAAUUGAUCUACCAGAGCUCCAGCCUUUCGCUACAAUCAUGCAACAAGGCUUUACUCAAUGAUGUCCAGUGACUCAUUAGGCUUUGUCCUGGUAACUUUACGAAGUCUAGCCAAGUGCUUUUUGUGCAGAGGUAUUCCUUUCUCCAUAUCAUCAUGCCUUCUAAAAGUUGGCCUUAUGGUAGAUCUUAAUUUUGAAGUGAGCAGACUAGAGGUGUUGUGUAAAAGCUUGGGUAACUUAUGGUCUGCUGAUGAUGUUAUAGAUGUUACAAAGGGUAUUUCCGAUGAAAAGUUAAUAGAAUGCAGGCUAACAUUAUUUGGCAAACUAUAUUCUCGACCAAACGUUAACUUUUAGGCCUUUCUUAGAACUAUGAAACAGGCAUGGAGGACGGAGAAUGUCUCAUGUACCUUGUUAGAAUCAGGCAUUUUCUCUUUCUCUUUUAAAUCAGAAGCCGAGAAGCAGAAAGUCCUUGAUGCUGGGCUGUGGUCUUUUUCUAGCAAUCUCCUAGUGCUCCAACAAUAUGAUCCUGACAUUCCAGAUAUUUGUUUUGAUUUCUCUCAUUGUCCCUUUUGGGUGCAUUUGUUUGGUUUUCCAUUUGGCAGAGUUACGACGGAGGUAGUAAGAGAGAUUGCCUCCAAGAUGGAGAAAUUCUCGAGGUGAAACUAGAAGCAAAGGGAAACAGUAAUUAUAAGGUCGAGAAAGCAAGAAUCAAGCUGAAUCUAGCUACACCUCUUAAAACAUGGGUAGUCAUUAACUUGGGAAGCAAAAAGUUGUGGAUUGAAUUCAAAUACGAGAGGUUGCCACAUUAUUUCUACUCUUGUGGUAGAAUCGGUCAUUAUGCCACUGCUUGUAAAGAGAUAGCUUACAAAAAUACAAGGCUGGAGGAAGACCUACCAGGUAAUUUCGAUAAUUGGUUAAGCACUGAGGUUUGGGAACUCAGCCCAUAUGGGAAAUUUUUUUAUGGCAAACAAGCCCAACUCCUUGAAGAUGAAGAAAUGUUGUUGGAAUCUCCCUUGGUAGCGGAUACUCACGAAACUUAGCAGGCAAAGAACGCAGUAGCGCAGCCUCUCCUGCCUCUCCACCCCAGCACAUCUUGGAGGAAGGGCCCAAACAGCAGGCUGAACAUCUACUCUCUUCUCGAGCUCUAACCAUUAUAGAAGGCAAAGCACCACAAAAGAGAGGCAGUAGCUGCUUAGAUGCGGAUUCCAUGCUGACGCUGCACAAUGAACAGCUUAAAAAGGUCAAAAAAGAGAGGCAACUUUAUUUAGAGAUAGAAAGAGGCCCAGCUAGGGGUAACGCCAGAUUUACCAAGCUCCCUUCAUCAAAGAAAGGCAAUCAAUUUUGCUCGUAUAGAGCUUAGUCCUCAAAGACAACAUCUGCUAAAAACUUAUAACUAGUGGAAAUCCAUAUCGUAGAGGAGGACAAAUCAUCUCAAUGGGCUUGGUGGUUAGCCCUAAUAAGCCACCGGUGCACCCAUGAAACUACUUAGUUGGAAUUGUCAAGGGUUAGGUUCUCCCCUGAGAAUUUAGGCUCUUCGAGUUCUAGUGACUCAGGAAAUGCCCAAUCUUAUAUUUCUUAUGGAAAUUAAAAAUAAAGAGCAAACAGUGCAACGAUUAAGAAGACGGCGCAAAGAUUAAGAAGACGGCUCAAGCUUUCUCACAUUUUUUUGGUGAAUCCAGAAGGGUUAUCAGGGGGUUUGGCUCUUUUUUGGGAUGACCAGGUAACUAUUUCUAUAGAAUCGCAUUUUGGAUACCUUUAUUAAGGGUAUUGCAUUAUUGAUUAAAUUUCAGUAUUACAUUUUUGUACGUUUUUGAGCUUUAUCGUCGAUUAAAUUCCGACAUAGUUCGGGUACAUGUAUUGCUGUGGAAGUGGUUGUACUUUCAAGUCUUGUCGUUGAUUGAAUUCCGACAUGGUUUGUAUGUAUAAUUUGAUUCGAAGAUUGAUAUAAAUGUUUGCAAUUAUUUUUUAUUUGUCUAGAUAUUUUUUGUUUGGAGUUACUACAAAACUGUUUUUGUCCCGUCAAAAGCCAAAGAACAACUUUCGGAAAAAGAUAUUUCAACGUAGAUUAAAUCUUUCGGAAAAAGAUAUUUUGGCGUAGAUUAAAUUCCGGCGAAACAAAGCCAAAAACAAUUGCAUACGUUUCGGUUAGGCAUUUCAUCAAACAUAGAGGGUGCGUUAGCGGAUGGGGGUUAGACAUAGAAACAACGAGCUCGAGUUCAAGCCAAGGUUCAAAGCAAACGACACCCGAGACGUUGCAAGUGCAGUCUGCACCUAGAUGAGGUCGGAAACUCACACGAACAAAAGGACGGCAGCUCGAGCGACGGGCUAGAAACAGGGCACAAAAAUAGGUAGAGGUGUCAAACGUGUGGAUCGAGUUAGGUUUGGGUUGGGUCAUUAAUGGGUCAGCCUAAAUUGACUCAUUAACCCAUUUAAGCCUAAUGUAACCCAUACUUGACCCAACCCAUACCCGACCCGACCCAUAUUGAUAAAAUAUUUUCAUAUUUUAACCAAAUUUAGAAAAACUUAUUCUUAUGAUUCUUUUUUUAAAGAUUAUAUUACUAAAAAACUUCCAAGCUUAUUUCUUAUAUAUAUAUAUAUUAUUUUUUUAAAAUAGUAUUACUAAAAUAGUUUUAUACACAUAAAUUUAAUGGACAAUUUUUAUAAUUUUUAAAAUAAUUAUUUUAAAAAAUCGAAUUUUAAUUAUUUUUUAUUUUAAAAAUUAAUUUUUUAAUUAUUUUUAUUUUUAUUUUUAAAAUUUAAUUUAAUUUUUUCUUUUUUCUUUUUGGUUUUUCUUAUUCUUAGGCCAGCCGUUGGCCACGACGACAGCUGGCAGCUGGCCACAAGCGAGCCUUGAUCUCGCCCGAUGCCGGUGAGCUCAAGGCUCACUAGAUCGGCGAGGCUCGAGCCUUGCCUGAUGUCGGCGAGCUCGAGUCUCGCCAAACGUUGGCGAGGCCUCUGCCUCGCCAGAUUUGGCGAGCUCAAGCUCGCCUCUCACCGGAUUUGGCGAGGCUCGUUGGCAUCAGUCAAGCUUGAGCUCACACCUCGCCGAAUUUGGCAAAGCUCGAGCCUCGCUUGACGCUAGCAAGUUUGAGUCUCGCCAAAUUGGCGAGGCUCGAGCCUCGCCGGGUGUCGACGAGGCCUUCGCCUCGCCAGAUUCUACGAGCUUGAGGCUCGCCUGGCCGGUCGCCGGCCAUUGCUAUGCCGGCUACCGGAAGAAGAAGAAAGAAAGAAAGUAAAGAACAGGAAAGAAAAAAGAAAAAAAAAGAAAAGAAAAUUAAAAUAAAACUAUUAUAAUUUAGGUUUUUAUAAAUAAAAUAUUUUUGUAAAGUUUAAGAGAGAAGAAAGAGAUUGUGAGGGUUUGGGUGAAAAUGGAUUCUAAAUCCAAACCAAUUUAAGACCCAUUUAAGACCCAUUUAAGACCCACUUAAGACCCACUUAAAACUCACCUAUCAAAGUAAAGCCAUUUAACUACCUUUUAUAAAAAAUAAGUGACCCAUAUAUGACCAAUUUAUGAUUUAAAUGGGUCAUAUAUGGGUUUAAGACCCAUUUUGACACCUCUAAAAAUAGGGGAGGUUUGCCCGGGAGUCCCUUCCCAGCUUGCUGUGUUGAAUGGCAGACGAGCUCCAUAUAUCGGGCUACGUUCGUCCGCCUCAUGCAGCCCCGAGCUAAGAUCCUUGGGAAGCUGACCUCGAGUUAGCACAACCAACAAAAACAAAAAUCGAGAACAAACCCACCAUGGGUUUGGUUCAGGAAGUGGGGUAUCAUUUGCGGGCCAUCGACUGGGUUUCACUUGCUCUCAGCCUCGCUCUCGGUUCUCUCUCUCAAAUCUCACUCCUCGAUUUCUCUCUCCUUGACCUCUCCGUUGUUGAGCUCCAGAAGGCCCUAUUUAUAGGCUAGAGGUUCCAUUUGAUGGGGGGGGGGGACAUUUCCGCUACUAGUCCUUGGCACGCCGACUGGCCUCCCUCAUGGUCGGAUCAACGUUCCAUCUCGUCUUCUUCCAUGGAGGCCUGCUCGGCAUUGAACGCGUUCACCCAGACGUCCCCUCCGUUUGGGUUUCUUGCUGGAUCUCGUGUUGCUCUGUUCAGCAACAUCAAUGGCGCCAGUGAGACGUCUGCUCCGUCGCCGGUCUACCCUCCUCUCUCUCUACCGUAGGUGUCCUUGCGCACGAGUUGCGGAGACAAAGGAGGGAGGAGGAGGAGGAGGAGGAGGAGGAAAGGGCUGGGCCACGGGGAAAAGAGCUGGGCGAGAUGGGCCCGAGCCGGUCGAGGGAAAAAAAAGAGAGUAGAAUAGGCUCGGCCCCGCGCGAAGGAAAAAAAGGGGCUAAGGUACCCAAGCCAUUUUUUUCUUUUUUCUCCUUUUUAAAAUAAUUUUUUAAAAAUAUUUUUAUUUUUUAUUUAUCUGAAAUAGGGAAAAUUAAGGGAAAAUAAAAAAAAAACUUAGUAAAUGCAAUUAAUAUUAAUGCCUAUAUGAUGUGAAAAUCCUUUUUUUUAGGGCUGAAUUGGUUUCUAAUUUUCUUUGCAAUUUAAAUCUAAGUGUUUAGUCAAAAUUUAGGUAUCAAUGAUUAUUUAUGCAAGCAUUCAACAUGGAGCGUGACGGUGAAUUUUUAUUUUAUUUUUGGUAUUUUUCCGUUCGCCCAUCCGUUCUCUCUUGAUAGUGGGCGUCUGCGGAGUCAAUAUGUGUCCAUGUCACAAUUGGAGUUUUCCUGACGUCAUCUCAAUAGUUUUGAUCGGAUUUUGUGCUGAACGAACUUGAUUAUGUGUAAGUAAACUGAAUCGAUUGGAAAAAUUGAUAUUACAUGCAAGAGUUUUUUUUUUUUUUUGACACAAAUGGAGGGUCAUUGGGCUAGUGACUUCAUAGCCCGUGACUAAAUCUUUCUCUAAGAUCUAGGUAAGCAAAUAAUUCACAUUCUUUGCUUGUCACUUAGGGGCAAAAAUAUCUUUAAGAGGAACAUUUUCUAUUGUUGGAGCGACCUGGUAUUAUCGCUUGUUUCUUUUGAACAAUAUCAAAACAGACGCGACUCGCACCAAUCAUCAAAAUACUCGCACGCACAGCACGUUCCGAGCAAAGUCAGAGAUCUCUGAUCGAAGAUAACGUUUUUUCUGUUGAUGAAUUGUUAUUCAGUUUCCGCAAUUAUACUCAUUAAUUUAGAAGAUUUGUGAGUCAGUAUUAAUCAAUUACAAUAUUAAAGAAGAUAAAGCCAGAGUGGUCAUCACCUUUGUGACUUCCAGGACGUGGCUUGUGUUCACCAACUCAAAUAACGAAUAUUAGAUAACUUAAUUGUUGCAAUUAACACCACAGUGUGUAUAGACGAAAGGAUUUUAGUAAGAAAUAAAUUGCAAACAUAAAACCUGAACGUAGUAGAUUUGUAUGGCUUCGGCGCUGUGCUUCCUCCAUGCCUGAGCUUUGUAACGGAGCUUGUAUGGUUUGCGAACCUAUCGCGGCGGUCCACUGUCGGUCCUGGCGUUUGUGAGCUAGAGGGCCGACCUCAUAGGGCCUCGGCGACCCCAAGCUACAGGAUCGGCUGAGCUCACUUGGCGUCUUUGUUGCGAGCCACGAAUAAUCUCGCUACAAACAAAGACAUGUAUGCAGGGAGAAGGACACGGGCGGUGGCCGACGGUGAGGAUGUUGUUGUCAGCAUAGAGGCGGCUGUGGCGUUGAGCGGCAGCUUAUUGGAUGAGGGUGGGUCCAAUUAGAUACAUUGAUGGGCUUGAAUUUGAGCUCUUUCUUAGUGAUCUACCUAUAUUAAUGUAUUGAAACUUUGUUGCAUGCUCUCAAUGAUUAGUAUGAAAGCCGAUGGUAAAUUAGUGAGCUCCCAAUUUGUUUAGUGUUUGGUGAAUAUCUCACCGAAGAGGCAUUAUAUCCAAGUGGAAGGCAUUGUGGUCUAGCAACACAAAUCUAAUGAUUGUCUCAUGGUUUGGUCUGGAAAAAGAGACUGGUUAUGAAGGGAUAUUUGGAUUAAGGAGAAUCAGAUUUAACAUUGAGCUCAUAAAUAAGGGAGAUUGUUGAGAUACGUGUGUAAGUUGUGUUUUAAAAAAAUCAAUGUCUAGAAAAUGGUGUGGUAUAAAGUAGAUAAUAUAUCUAAAUUGAUUCUUAAUUUAUUAGCUUGAACUUUUAAGUAAAAGUAAUUUUAAUUUGAUAUGUUGAUGAGUCCACACUUAGAUCUCUCCUAAUAAUAUCUCUGGGUGAGGAAGUAUUAGACUUCAGCUGCGUAUUUUCAGUAGAUAGUUGUUUUGUUAUGUUAUGUGUAAGGAGAGAGAAAGAGCAGGUGUACAAUUUGGUUGCGAGGGUUGAUGAGUCUUUUUAGAUUGGAAGAUGCAAAAUGCAGGUUUUUGAAUAAGAAAAAGGAUAUUUGACAUGGAGAGUAAAGUUGAUGAUGGUAUUCGCAAUUAUCGCUUUGGGUAAAGAAUUGGAAAACCCUGGUAACUGUAAUGGCUAAAAUCAGUGUUGCUCUAUUACUAGUAUGUGUUCCUUGGAAGCCGCUGGUGCAUCCAUCUGUUGCCCCUUGCUAUGGACACGUCUGUUCUCUCCAUAAUGGAUCAUAUAACACUUGCCCAGCAACCAUGGUUGUUAUCUCGCUUGAUCUCCGGUCGAGAAUCGACCUUUGGAACGUGUCAGAAAAGCAAGUUAAGAUGGAGAAACUCGAGUAGGAAAAGAAGACCAGUCCGUGCUAAAGCGGUACAUGUAUUCACCGGCCAGCUAGUCAUGUUUACCUUAAGUGAUAAUGAUUUGAUUGUGAAUACCUGAUAGGCACGCUUUCUAAUUAUAGGGUAAGGAAAAUUUGUUUGUGUGUAAAACCUUAACCAGUUCAAGUGUAAUGUAGGUAUACUUUUUGAACUUUUGAUCAAUAUGUACGUGAUAUUAUAUAUCUAUGCCUAACGUAUGAGCAUGGGGAUUGUGUCAAUCUAUCAUAUUCGAGUGGAAGAUGUUGGAUUUAAUUUGGACUUGGUCUGCUCAUAAUGGCUCGACCCAAGCCCUACGCAUGUGUCCUUGAAGUUCCCUUGGUGAGAACAACUACGAAUGAGAGAGAACUUCUCUUUUGCAUACACAUGCACGUAAAAUACAAGGUAAUUAUACACAAGAAAGUGGAUGGGAAUGUUGGGUGUGCGCGCUUGACCGUGGAAAAGGAAGUGCUCGUGUGCACGGCGAGUACCGAGAGAGACGGACGAUUCUCCAACAAAACCGAAUGCACGGAUGUUAAUCCAAGGGCGUGAUUACACUUUCGAAAAAUUCCUUUCUUGUGUCAAAGAAAACCGGUUACACGAGCAUUACGUAAAGCGACCUUGAUUCUUGAGACAUGAGGGGUGAGCACUCGAAACCCAACGCUACCGAACUUCGACUUCUCCUCCCGGUAUUUGAUAACAAAGAGCGGCUUGGCUUUAGGCUUUGGUUCUGGAGACCAUCUCAGUUUCGUUGAAGUUUUGAUCAAUGUUGUGAAAAGGCCUUAACUCCUUUGAAAAAAGCCUACAAAACUCUAGUCUAUCAAUGAUAGUUGGAUCGCGUGGCCUAGGAUGAAAGCAAAAAGUAUGACAGUGCAAAGAUAUUCUGGAUGUCUAAGUCGGUUAUUAAGCCUAUGUAGAGAUUUGGUAGUACUGGGGAGUAGCCUCCACCAAGAGUAGGAGGAGCUAAACUAAAAUUCAAAUCCCCUUUGCCCCUCCACCAAUGCCUCAUGUAAAACGCUCGCCAUAAACCAAUGAAACUACCUCCCAUUGCCUUGAACACAUCUAUUUCCUGGUUCCCUUCUCAUUCCUUUGCCAAAUAUAUCCCACACAUACACACUUGCACAUCAAUACCAAUAACUAAUAGUGGUAUCAAAACCACUCUUCAGUAAUACAACAUUGUUAUCACAGCUCAAAAAUUCUACUUUAGUGUCAGAGCCAUACACUUUUGGAUGGUUUUGAAUGUUUGUCCUAGCCGUCCUCCGUUAAAACCACCCAAAGGCAGAGCCUCAUUUCGUUAGUAUCAAUCGUUUGUCCUAACCAACCUUUACAAAAAUCAACCAACUACAUUUUCAACACUUAAACUAUGGCCAAUGUUGCCUCACAAAAACUAACCAUCUCUUAUUUUGGGUGGGAAACUGGGAACAAUUAUGAUCAUAGGAGCAUUUUGAUGGCCCAAAACAAUGGGGACAUCGUCGUUAAAACAUAUGCGACAUUGAAGGAUGGUGCAGGUGUUUCUGUAGAGCAACUACAAAAAGAUGUGAGGGCUUUUAGAGUGAAUAUCGCAAAAAAGGCACGAAACACACUUUAAGAAGAAUUUCAGGUCAAGAUCGAGACAUGUCGAAGCAUGCUCGAAAUGUCACAAAAAUUGAUAAAGGAGGGGUAGUAUUAAAAGUUGUCAUCAAUUUUGUAAAAAGUACCUAUAAAAAUCUAGUCUAUUAAUGGUCGUUGGAGCGGGUGGCCUAAAAUGAAAGCAAAAGGAGAAUAACUGACAAUGCAGAGAUAUAAUGCAUUUCUAAGUCGGUUAUUGAGUCCAUAUAUAGGAUAUUCAUUCAAGUGUGUGGGAAGUAAUCCUCCACCAAGAGUGCUAGGAGCUAAACUAAAACCCACAUCCCUCAUGCUCCUCCACCAACACCUCAUAUGAGGCCCCUUCCAUAAACUAAUGAAACUAUCUCCCAUUGUCUUCAACUCACAAUUAUCUCCUUGUCGCCUUAUCAUUCCUCUACCAAGGAUGUCGCACACACGUACACAGUCGCAAUCUAACAUUGGCAUCACAGCUCCAAAAAUUCUAAUAAGUUUCAUAAAAAAAUAGCACUAACAUCCUGAUCAAGCCAAAGAUUAAACUCAGUAAGUUCAGGGCUAAUUUGAAGAUAAUUGAGGGGCAAGCCUUCCCUUCUUUGAGUUGGUUUGAAGCCACCCAAUGAAGCUCUUGAUCCAAAUUGCCAGGAGGUCCCCGUACGCCCUUAGACACAGAGCAUCCAGACAUCAAGUUGGUCUCUCGAUUUUGGCAUUAAAAUGACAGAGAACACAAGUAACAUCCAAUGGGCAUAGACCAACAUAUGCAAUGUGCUCAUGCUGACUCCUGUCUCCAUAAUUUGGAGAUAAUUUGUAAGUUAUAGUUCGUCAUUUUGACCUGAAAUUUAAAUUGUAUUGUUAUCCCGAGUGACCCGAAAAUGCUCAUUAGUAGAGAAAUCAGCGAUUUUCCCUGAAGCAUACUUAUAGAGAACCAAUUUUAUGUGCUUUUGAUUUGACUUUUCUAUUGCAUUAGCCCUAAACAAUUAGGCAUACCUGAGCAUAUAACUCAUCUAUUGCAUUAAUCAAUCAGUGUCCAAAGUCAUUUAAGACAACCCGAUCUUCAAGACAACAAAGUUCUGGAAUGACUCGUCCUCCAGGCUUGGGCGUGUGGCUCUCCCAUUAAUGAAGACUCUAAGGUGAAGAACAGUUUCAAGCAACUUUUGAAAUCGGUGUCAUUAUCUUAUUAAAUGAGCUCGAAAAAUUAUAAAAAAAUAAUAUGUUGUAACAAAAAUCUUAAAUAACAUUUUAUAUAUGAAGGUAAGUCUAAUUCAUUUUAUGGAAAGUUUGUCCAUCAAAUAGAUUUUUAUAAAACAACCAAAAAGUUUGUCCAUCAAAUAGAUUCAAUGAUCGUAGAGGAAAACUCAUUUCAAAAUCCAAAUUUUUAUAAAACACUUUGAAAUCUUUAUAUGUAAACAUAUAUUUCCUUUACAAAUUUUAUGAAGGAAACAUGUCUAGAUUCAAAAGGAAAUUUUUUUAUAAAAAAUCAAGAAGACAACCGGGUCACUAUUUUUACUACAUUGGGCAGGUUCAGCACGGUAAAUGAAUAGGCUCUCGUACCAGCCAUUUCACCUUAGAAAAAAUUGAAAUUAAAUUAUGUUGUAGAUCAAGAUGUUUUGAACAAUGUUUAUGAAGGAAUUUUUAUCCAAUUUGAACCACAAAAAGCUCUAUAAAUUUGAAAAACAAUGAGGGUCCAACAGUUUCAAAAACUGGAAAUCAAAAUCAGAACUUAAGAAACCAAUUGUGGCAAGCCUAGAGAGGAGAGGUGGCACUUUUAAUGGUCUUCCAAGACCAUCCUUCAUUGAAUUUUCUAGGCCAAUGAUUUACUAAGCAUUUAAGGUUGGGAAGAACUUGUCUUCCAAGUCUUAAAAUAGUGGAAUCCCAGCCUAAGCUCUCUAAGGACACAUAAGCUCGUGAUUCACUUGCUUCAUUAAUGGCUUGUCAUGAUGACCAUACUCCUAAGCUUAUGAUUCAUCUCUUUCAUCAAUGCCUUGUCAUGAUGACUAUAACACCUAAGCUUAUGAGUCGUCUCUUUCAUUAAUUAUUAGCUUCUAAAAGUAAUAAAUGUAUUCAUGGGAAGGAAGCUAAAUUGAAGGCCGUCUCAUUAGAUGGGAAUUAUUCAAGUUUAACCAUGAUCGACUACCUUAUUUGGUCAGAAGUUCGUACAUAAGUCAUGAUUGGACGAAGCCGGAUGUAAUUGAGCUUAAUUGAUGCAACUAAAUUCAACGUUCUCUUUUACACAGUAAAAGGGGCACUCGGUUGAGUCUGAGGUCCAAUCCUUAGGCUUAUCAACUAGUCCUAGGGUUGGUCCUGUCGCCAAUCUAGGGUCUUGUGCCACACUCCGUGGUCAGUUCAAAAUUGAUCCACAUUAAGUUUAUUCGAUCCAUGGUCAAUUCUUGAUUGUCAUGUAAUCAUGUAGGAUUGAUCGAUCAACCUCAAUACAUGGUCGCAUUGAAUCGAUUCAUGGUCGUUCAUGAUUGGUACAAUGAUCAUGUGGAAUGACCCGUGAUAGGCAUACGACUGUGUGGAAUUGAUCCAUAAUCGUCCAUUGAUCGAUCCAUGACCAUACGUGAUCAUCCCACAAUUGAUCCUUAUGGUCAAAUAACUUAUUAUGGUCGAAUACUCUAUCUGAGUACAACCGGUUCCUAGUUGCCUUUUUCGAUCUGGCUAAAUAGCCUAUAACUAACCCUCGGGUCGAUUCAUGGCCUAUUCUCACUAUUAGAGAUCGAUCCUUGGCCUACUAGUCAUAGCUAAAUAAGGGUCAAAAUCGAAGAUGUUACACAAUGUGUGAGGGGGACAUUGUUGGGGUUUACCUUAAUGGGUAGCUGAUUAUUUUAUAAGUGUUAGGGAAAGGCUUAAUCCUUGAUCUGGCUUUUAGGAUGAGAGAGAUCCAAGACCAUCCGACAAUUUUUGUCUUGCCCCUGCGCUCUUUCCAUCAUAUUCAGUGAGGACAUUUGUAUCGGAGACUGUUGCGAUUUAUCUUCAAUGAGAAAUUGUGACUCUAAGGAGAGAGCCAAGAAGACUUUUUGAACCAUAUCAUUUUCCUGAGGUAGCCAAAUUUGAUGCCAUCAUGAAGAGACUAGUGACAUAUAUAGAGAGAAAAAUAUCUGACCUAAAGGGUUCGCCUCACAAGAUCAAGGAGGGUGAAGAAUUCAAGUACACAUGAUUCAUGGUCCUAAGUUGUUCCAUUUCCUCAUUUAAUUAGGGGCAUGCACUUUCCCCUGCGUGGGAAUUCUUGUCACUUUUUAGGGAUUGAUUUCAAUUUCUUCUGUGCUUGAGCAUCACAUUCCAAUAAAUGUAAUUUGAUUGAUGAAUAUAAAUAGAAUUACAAGUUUUGUUUUGAGGACAUGAUGGGGUACACCAAACUAGCCUGGUGACGAUAUCCAACAAUGAAAAGAAAAUAUUAUCCAUGGAGAAAAUCUGAGGACUGAGCUUUUUCAUGCUUCCUCAUCCAAAAUAUUCCUUAAAAUAAUCAUUUUUGAAACAAUUUCCAAAAGCAUGCAUUAGGUUACCCUUGUUUAAUUUUCUGACUCAUUUACUUCAUGUUUCAGAGCAUUACUUUCUUGACCUGAUAAGAAAGCACCUGAAAAAGGCACAUCAGGUUACAGUCGGUUCAACUCUUACUCAACAAGUUUCUAAAGAGUUAAUGUCGAUCACAUCUCAAUACUACUUGAAAUAUCCAUCUUGAAGGGCCAAACAAAGCCUUUCCAUUUCCAUGCUUGACGGAAUUUUCAUUCUCACCCAUUAAUUGAGGGGCAAGUUAAAAGAGGAUCAUCCAUCUUUGGUGAAAGAGGUACCUCGUUUUUGAACAUAAAUAAUCUUUGGAGAUGACGUUUUGUUCUUUUCCUUGCAGAUGACUAAUUGGAGGCACUACAGAUUCUAGUAGUGACAUGACUGUGACAAAAUCUUGAUCUGAGCCAAAAUGGUUGUGCAAUUUAAAUUUACUUUGAUGUUGCAUAGUAUCCUAUUCAUGCAUGUUGUUUUGUGUAGGGGCAAAAGCAAGAUUUUAUCAAAUCAAAGAUCGGAUUUUCAUCAUCGAUUGAUCAAUUUGUGUGUUUAUUCCCUUUCGAUAGAGGCAAUAUAGGGACAUCCAUUGCUGAGACAAUCCUUUCAUGGGACAAUUCCUUGAAUGAAUGUUUGAAAUCAUGUUUGAGUGUAGUAAAUUGUUUGUUUUGAGGUCACAAACGCUUUUUAUGCUUAAAGUUGUUGAACUCUUUUGAAAAGAAAAUUUUCAUAUUGAUUUAGCUCAUCAAUUUCAUGUGGAGAUUUGUCAAGAUAGACAAUUUAAUGGAGUGACAUCAAUACUUAAGAAUGCUGAAUGAGACGUGUCAGUAUGAUGAAAGGCAAGCCUUAUCCUAUACACAGUCCCCUAGUUAUACACUUGUGAGAUGAGUGAAGGGAAGUUCCAUAUCUACAAGGUAAAGAGUUCUCUCGCAAAAGGUACGAUGACCGAAAUGAUGAGUUUAUUUCUCUAUCCCAAACACUACAGGUGAUCCAUUGCUUAACCCUUUUGAGCCUUAUACACUUGUGAAGAUUUUUUUAAAGUUAUCCCUGUCAAGAACCACUCCACAUUAGGGCAAAUUGGAGGGUAAGAUAGCACCAUAAAGUGAAGAAAUGGAUUGAAAUUUUCUUGCUUUCACUUGCAUCAAUUUUCAAGUUAUGCUAUUACAUUGAAUUCAUAUGGUAAUUUAAGUACCUUAGGAUGAUGAAGAACAUUUCUUUCUCUAUCCUACAUACUUAUAUCCUUUGCAUAGCCCACUUGAGCCUGCAAUUUCAUUUCUUUUAAACUUAGUUGGUGAUCAUCCCUCACACUGGGGCAAGACAAGAGACAGAUGAAGAUCUUUGAAAGUUUGAAUGUCAUUCAAAGUGUAAUUGCUUGACACAUGCAUAGAAAUCAAAAUAGAACUAAGGGGCAUGAAAAAACAGUGUGCCUGGUAAAAGCAAGGCCAAUGCCCAUGAAAAAAAAAGUAAAAAAAAAAUGAAUAAGAACUAGGGGGCAUGAAAAGCGAGGUGCCUGGUAAAAGCAAGGCCAAUGCCCAUAGAUGAAAAAAGAGAGUCAAGAUAAGGUGACUCUCAAUUGCGAGAAUUGAAUCCCAUUAGGGUAAUACUCAAAGAACUCAAAUGCUGAGUUUUUAUAAUCAAUGGGGCACUUCAUGAAAACAAUCCCUGAUGGUGGAAAAGAAAACUGGUGGCAAUGCCAAGAUGAUCACCAACUCUCACCAUUCACACACAUUUUGAGCCUAAUGAUCCUUCCAUUUCUCAACUCAUGAACCUAGCCUACGUUACGUCAUUUACAAAGUCUCUUUAGAUCAGGGCACUUGAAUUAACAUAGGAGUUCAUAUGUUUAUAAGCAUCGCUCGAAGAAGUACGAGCAAGAUUAUUUCUUUCUCAUUUUGCAGGGUUCUUGACUUGUAAACUCGGAGAUGAUUAAAGAGUUGUUCUUUCAAUAGCCUUGACUCAAAGAGUCCAUUUGUUAAGCCGUUGAUCGCGCCCACAUUACGGUCCCUAUUAAAAACCUCUCAGAUUGGUAAGGUCGUACCACUUGCGAGAAUACUUGGACCCUUGUUGGUAUGAUAGUGAGAUGUAGUGAUUCUCAUAAAAUAGCCUCUAAAUGAGAGUGAGUGAAAGUCAUUUCUAACUGAAGGUCCCUCAUUUGGUAUUCUUAGGAAAUCCAUGUUAUGAGUGAAGAUUGUCUUGAAUGAUAAUUCUCUCCAGUGGAAAUUUGGGUAAUGCAAAGGUCAUUAUGCAUGAACCCCAAUUGAGUUGAAGAAAACCUCACUAAAUUUUGAAAUGUGCAUUUUAGAGUAACUUAGAUUGUCUAUCUCUUUUAUGAAUGCAUAUAAGUUUUUCCUCUAAAUCAUGUUUGACGGGUAAUUCAAGUUCCUUUUAGAAUGUUUCAUGAUAUUCGGAGAUGAGAAACCUCCACCAUGAGGUGAAAGACCUCCACAGGAUAUCUAAAUUUCAAAAGACAUAUCCCCAAGAAUCAGAGAUGUCACCAGGUAAGUAUAUCUCUACCAUACUCUAAAAUACUUGUCAUUGUGCAGGUAUUCUCUCUCAAGUGCAUCGACGCUUGACUUGGUCAAGCUGUCCAGUUAUAUCGACAUGGCGUGCUUUCGUAGCCCAGAAUCAUUUUCAUCGACUCGGCGUGCUUCCAUAACCCGAUGUCUCUUUCUUGACCUGACGUGCUUUUGUAGCCUAGAGUCCAUUUUAUCGAACCGGCGUGCUUCCGUAGCCCGGAUUUCUUUUAUCGACCUGGCGUGCUUUCGUAGCCCAGAGUCCUUUACACUGACACUCAAUGGAGUUGUCCCACAAAGAUUUUUCCUCCAGAUUCAAUCUGAUUAAGGCAACCGAAGAAUGGUUCGGGUCCUGGUCGGAUGAUUUCUGUCGCAAGGCUGGGCGACCGAAGAUAGGUUUGGGUCCUAGCCAAGCAAAACCUCAGUCUAGGCGACCGUAGAAUGGUACGGGUCCUAGACAACAUUUAUUGCUCUAAUAGGCGAUCGUAGAAUGGUACGGGUCUUGGAAAAACAAUUUUCCCAUUCAGGCGACCGUAGAAUGGUACGGGUCCUUGACAACACCUAUUCCUUAUUCAGGCGACCGUAGAAUGGUACGGGUCCUAGAAAAUGAAUCCCCAUUUAGGCGACCAUAAAAUGGUACGGGUCCUAGACAAAACCUUUCUGCCGUACUGGGCGACCAUAGAAUGGUACGGGUCUUGGGAAAACAGUUCCUUACAAAACUUUUCUGCCGUAUUGGGCGACCGUAGAAUGGUACGGGUCCUAAGAAAGCAGCUCCUUUCUACCAUACUGGGCGACCGUAGAAUGGUACGGGUCCUGGGAAAGCAGCAUCUUCACAAAGUCAUGUUACUAUUCUAGGCGACCAUAGAAUGGUACGGGUCCUGGACAGGUAACACUCACUAUCUUGAAUUACUCUAUCAUCCUCGAAGGUAAGUUAUUCUAGGUAGCUUCAUCUAUCAUUUGCAUUAGCAUUUCCAUGCAUCAUACAAAUUGGAAUUCAUGUUCCGAUAAAAAAAAAUCAUUCACUGCAUGUACAUGAUCAAAAUUUAGAUCUCAAUUGGUCUUUGAAGGCAACCUCUACGAGCUCACCUUCAAAGGGGGGCAGCUGUUGACACCUAAAUUUUGGCGACCCAUUUAGACGUUUAUCGUAUUAUAAAAAUUAGGGGUUAAUUUUAUCCCUGAAAAAAUAAUUAAUUGCAUAGCAUAUAGAUUUAGGUGCAUUUGCAUUUUUUGCAUUUGUUUAUUGGGCUGGUGGCGGAUGAGUUUGAAUUGGUGGUUCUGAGCUUUAAAUUGAUGGGCUGGACUAAGCCCACGAAGGGAGCAAAUUGGCCCAAGCCCCUUUUUUUAUGAUAGAAAAUUAUCUCGUGAAAAAAUAGAGAUUUGAAAUUUUUCCGGGAUAUGUUGGGGGAUUUUUCAAUAUCUUCGGAUAGGGCAAGUGCGACAAAAGUAUUGCAAGCUCAUCUUUAAAAUAUUCAGAAUCCGAGAAAAUUUUAUUACGAUCCCGAACUUUUGGCAAUGUUCGAUCAAUUGUGAGUUGGUAUUUGGAAAGAAAAGAAUUGUUUUUGUUGAUCUUGUGAUUAUAAAUGUGCGGACAAAAACAUCAAAAAGGGCAAGAAGGAUUAGCAUUAUUAAAAUAUAUAUUCAAUGAGGAUAUAUGGAUCCGCAAUGCGUACAAAGGAAAUAUAAACCCUCACAAAAGAGGGAAGUCAGUACGUGGAUCCUAUAUUCAAAUUUCCCUUUUUGAAGUUCAUAUUCGGCCAGUAUAAAAAGCGUAAUGUUCGAGGGAAAAAAGGGGGCCACACAAUCGACACAUACGGCCACAAUUCUGAAAAGAGGACUUCGAAUACACGGCACAGAGAGAGCUUUAGAGAGAAAAAAGUCAAGAGGAGAAAUCGUGGAGGCGAGCAAAUCAGAAUUUCAAAACACAGCCAAGAGAAUACACGUGAAUAGAGAGGAAGGAGAGGGAGGCUACGGUCAGUCAUACAUCCUCACGGCCACGCUUUCACCGAUCUUCGUCACCGCCGUCGGUGUCCUUGCUGCCAUCUGCUGCUGCCCAACGAAGCUGAGAAGCUAUUGCCGUGCAUCAGUGUGAUUCGUAAGUGACACGUGAAAGAACAGGGAGAGUACACGGACGGAGGAUUGGAUCUAAGAAUAAAAAAUUCACGAUUUCUCAACGUGGAGAGAUAGAGAGAAACACAAGAUCUGGCAUGGCUCCCAGACCGCGACUUGUCUACGGAAUUCAGCAGUCGGUGGAGGUUUCCUUCAGUCCCUGUUCCUCGCUCAGCAGUGGUCCCGGUGCCAUGCGGCUUUCCUGGCUACGCCCAAGCUCUACAUCCAGGGCGCCCGGUGAUUUCCAGAGUCUAUGAUGAGCAGCCAAUGCCGGUUUUGUAUUCUUGGUUGAAUUUUCGCAGGUUUUUCGGUGAACACAGCAGUCCUUGACGUGCCCCAGACUUCCACCGAUCCCGUUAUUUUGCUUUCGUUUGAAUUUUUACUAGCGCAGGUCUUUCUUGACCGAAUCCAGUCACUGCCCCGACAAUCCCAUUGAAUCUCCGAGCAAUAUUUGUCCUUCGGCAAACCCGAUGAGCCGUUGCCAUCCUUUCCUCGAGCUUUCACCGCCGUCAACCAGCUCACGAAGCCAUGCCAGGGAGGUUGCUGUCUUGCUCUUGUGACUCCAUAUUGCUAGUGCCACUAAACGACGAGUUGCUCGCCGCACCAUCGUAACACUUACGGCAAGAAAGCUAACCCACCACAUUUGAGUUCUUUCCUUGUUGCAGCUGGAAGUCCCCAGCCAUGAAUUCAUCGUACGAGCACAUCUUCAAAGAUCGCGGGUUGUUUUGAUUUUUGGCCGAAGCGGUGGAAUUUGUCUCUUAUUGCAUGGUGAAAUCUGGAGCCUUAACCGUGAGUUCUUGAGAAAGAAGCAUACGUGAGAUUGAAGACAAAAAGGUAUUGACUUUAGAGCUCUCGGUGGAGAUUAUUUGGUCCGACUAAAAGACCAAAUAUUAGUUCGCUACGAUCUCCUUUGGCGAGCCACCUUAUUGUGAGCGGUUCCCUCGCAAGUGCGUCGCGUUGCAACCACCGCUCGUGAGCCAUCACCUGUCUCGAAUCAUCGAGGCAUCACCGUGAGUCCACCGUCUCGGCUGCUGUCCAAGCCGAACUACCGUUUGCAGCAGAUCGCCACCACGAUCCAUCGCUAGUUGUCAUCCACCACCCCGUUGCCCGCCGAUUGCGAUCCCGGUCCGAUUGCGCAAGGUCCAAAUUUGGAAACCAAUAUCGGAUUAGGUAAAAAUUUCAUUUUAUUUGAUUUCCUAAUAUUCAGUUUCCUCAUUUGAAAUAUCCGUUGAUACACAUGAUGGAAAUUCCCGAUAUGCUAUGAUAUCCGUAAUUUUGAGUAGCCUUCUAAAUUGGGAAAUCUUCCUAAUUUCGCAACGUACAUAUGAUUGAUGGUCCGAUUUCAUGCUCGAAAUAUGACCCGCAAUCGUACGGAAAAGUCACCAAUCCGAUCUCACGCUCGAGAUACGAUUCGUGAUUUUAUUUUAAAAUUGGCCAAUCCGAUCUCACGUGCGAGAUACGAUUCGUCAAUUUAUUUCCCAAAAUUAAAUGGACAUGGAUGAUAUCUUGCUUGAUUUGGUGCCGUGCUUUCUUGAUGCCUCUAUUUGAUUGCUCCCGUAAAAGGAAAACCCAAAAAUAUAUAUUUGAGUUAGAUUAGGUUCAUGUUAGAAUAUAUUUUGCAUGUUUAGAAUAGGAAAUUUUUUUCGAAUUUUUGAAAAAUUGAAAAAAUCCAAAAAAAUGCAUUCAUUUAGGAUGUUAGUUUUUUCUUUAAUUUAAGUUGCAUGUUAAUUAUUUGCCAAUCUUAAUUUGGAAUUUUUAUUAUAAAAAAAAAGACACAAAAAUCAUCAUGCAUAUGUCAUGUAGAAUUAUGGCAUUCUUUGUACAUCAUUGCGUAUUUCAUUUUAAGUUUAGAUUGAAUUUUUAGAUAGAUUGCAUCUUAAGUUAGAGUUUGCUAAGUUAAGAUUAUAUCUUAGUUUAAAUUAGGGUUUAGCCUGACAUAAUCCUUAAUACAAAUUGAAUAGAAUCUUAAGCUAGCUAGAUAAUCCUUACAUUUUUCUAAUUUCGAAUUUCAUGUAAAAUACAAAAGAAAUUGUCUUAGAGUAAAUCAAUUUCAUUCUUUAGGAUAGAUUGCAUGCUUAUAUUUUAUUUAUGUCAUAUAGUUUAAGUCAUAUUGCCAUGUCAUAUCAUUUCAUUAGUAGCAUGCAUUGCAUAAAGCAUGAUUCACAUUAAAUAAAGUGAAAACCAAAAAAAGAAAUUGCGUGUUAAUUAGAAAUCAUAUCUAGGGUUGAUGAUGUGAAUUCUGAUCUAACAACGCAGAUGCUUUCGUUGCUAUGAGGUAAGUCCUGCAAUUUAUUCAUUGCUUUUCUUGGGUGUUAAAUUGGUGGUUUGCGCACCCGCAUGAUCACAUCACAUGUUAGGAAAAUAGAUUUAAAAUCAAUUCAAGCUGCUUGCCAAACAUUUUUUCAAAAAUAAAAGAAAAGGUACCGGAAGGGCGUUAGAGAAAUCUAGCGUAACCAAGUCCCCGAACUCAUAAAUCUCUGGUUCGUAGGAGUAAAGUAAAUCUCCCGUUAUUUUACUUGGGUUUCUAAUCGACCCACCAAAAAUAGAUUAGUGGCGACUCCUAAUUGAAAACCAAUUGCAUGUUAAUAACUUGAACCUAAGUCGCGAAUUGGUAUGGGCUUGGGAGAGUCUGAGUUAAGUCUAGGCUUAACAAUCCAUUAGCCCCUAGGUGGUUCAUGCCCCGAAAAAUUUGGUCGCGACAAAAGUCAAGAACCUAUUUUAUCUUUUGGUGCUUUUGUACCAUAAAAUUGUAGCUUCCCUCAUUUUGAUGGAAAAAUUUGAUUCUUCAUUUCUUGGGUUCCAUUCUUAGAUGGUUAGUAGUUUUAUUGUUUGCUAGGUUAGCUGGCUAGGAGUUGGGCAAUGUUGAAACUCGAUUAUGCUUUCAAGAAUUCGAUGGCGUUGUCGCCAUUGUGUGUUGUAAUUAUGGUGGAGUAAUGGAUAUAUGAAAAUGAGCAAAAUGAGAUAUGUAGUUUCCGUUCAUGUAUUUCAUUAAUUUGUGUAUCUCUGGAGUUGAUGUAUUUUUUGGAUUUGUGUAUCUACUUAAUUCAAAGUUCAUGUAUCUCCUGAAUUCUUUUGUUAAUUUCAUUCACGUAUCUUUUAAAUUUUUGUAUCUAUUUAAUCUAUAGUUCAUAUAUUGCUUCUAUACAUGAAUUCAAAAACCCUAUAAAUAGAUUUGGAAAUCUUCAUUCCAAGAGAAGUGAAAACACCUACAUCUCCUCUCUUCAAGUUUCUCUAAAUGUGCUAAUUUUGAGAGUGUUUGAGAGACUCCUAUUUGUUUAGUGCUGAUACCAACAUGUUCGAGGUGUUAUGUCUUGAAAGGUGAAGUUCGUAAAACUGCUUAGCACCAUUGGCAAGAACUAAUUAUCUUAGGGAGAGUCGAUUAGCUAUACUUUACCUCCAAUUACUAUUUUUUUUCGUUAUCACUUUCUCGAAUUUAUUAUUUCUGAUUACAAUAAACAGGAUUUCAUAUUCUUCCCCCAAUAUGAUUCCUCCUUCUUCUUCUCCUUCUUCUCUAUAUUUUCCAACAAUCUUAAGGUGGUUAUCAUUCUCAUUAUUUGUUGUGUUUACUAGAAAAUUGAAAUAGCUGAUAACAAUGAUGUUUGGAAUGUUCUUGGAGAGAUGCUCUUAUGGCCAUUUUGACCGGUGAGGUUCAAACCUCAUGGCCUAGUAUUGUGGCAGCAAAUGCUAAUGGCCUAGUAUUGUGGCAGCAAAUACUAUAAACCUUAGGGUUGAAACCAUCUAUGAUGGUACGAGUACAAAUCGCUCGAUUGAAAGCCAAAUGGCAUUUUGGAGAGAUGGUUCAUUAGGGUUUGCCUAGUUUGAUGGUAACAUCUCUAGUAAUAUCAAAUGAGAAACUAGAGAAAUUCACUAGUGUGGGCUUUAAGCAGUGAUAGAAAAAGAUGUUCUUCUAUUUGAUUAUGCUAAAUCUGGUUAAGUCCUUAUUGGAGGUGUGCCCAAUAAUUAGUUCAAAUGUGCAAGAUUUCACGAGCCUUGGGGUGUUGGAGGCUUGGAAGCACAAGGACUUCCUAUGCCGAAAUUGUAUCCUUAACUGUUUGGUAGUUUCCCUAAUAUAAAUUUUUAUUGUAACAUUGACAGUGUCAAACAGUAAUGGGAGUCCUUAGAAAAGAAAUACAAAACUGAGGACGUGGGCACCAACAAAUUCACGGUUGCCAAAUUCCUGGAAUUCAAGAUGGUGGAUUCCAAAUAUGUCAUGAAUUAGGUCCAAGAAUUGUAAAUAAUUCUAAACGACAUCUUUGUCGAGGGAAUGAUACUUAGUGAAUUAUUCCAAGUGGUGGCUAUUAUUGAGAAGUUGCCUUUGGGUUGGUUAGAUUUUAAAAAUUAUUUGAAGCACAAAUGAAAAAAGAUGAGACUUGAAGAUCUCAUUCUAUGCCUCACAAUCGAGGAAGAAAAUAGGAGGAAUGCAAACACUCCUAUGGAGCCGAAGGCCAACAUUGUGGAGCUUUUCAAUUCCAAUCAAGAUAGGAAGAGGAAGAAAUCCUUUCAAGGAAAAGGCAAGCAAAAGAAAUAGUCCCAUAAAAUUCCAAGGGACAUUUUUUGUCUACAAUAAACUUGGCCAUCAGGCUAAGGAUUGCAAGAAGCGCCCAAACAAAGGCAAGGGCGGUGGUGCAGCCAAGCAGCUAAAUCUGAUAGAGCAAGAACAUGCUGAAAGAUUAAUUGCUGCAGUAAUGUCUGAGGUAUCCUUUGUGUUGAACAAUAUUGAUUGGUGGUUGAACACUAUUGCAACAAAUCAUAUUUGUAUGGAUAAACAUAUGUUAAUGUCUUAGAAGAAGGUUGAGGAAGAAGAGAAGCUCUAUAUGGCUAACUCUACAACAACAAUAUCGUUGGAAGAAGAAAUGUGAUCUUGAAGUUCACCUCUGGUAAGGAAAUCAAACUGCUCAAUGUGUUGCAUAUACUGAAGAUCAAGAGGAAUCUCAUUCUAGCCCCAUACUUGUCAAGAAGGGUUUCGAAUUGUAUUUAAAUUUGACAAAUUUGUACUUUCCAAAGGAGGGAUAUAUGUGGGAAAAGAGCACUUGUGAAGUGACCUAUUCAAAGCUAAUGUGGUUAUCAUUAAUGUAAACUCGAAAUGCUUGUACCCAGAGGCUAGUAAUAAAGAAAAGUUUUCAAUUUACAUUGUUGUGUCUCGUUUUCAUGGCAUGAUAGUUUAUGACAUGUAAACUAUGGUACAAUGAAGAAGUAAGCAAACUUGGUGCUAAUUCCAAAAUUUGAGUUGGAUGCCAAUCACAAAUGCGAGACUUGUGUUAAGGCUAAGUUUGCUAAGAAGUCUUUCAAAUCUGGUGAAAGAAUGAGUGAACCUCUACAAUUUAUCCAUAGUGAUUUUUGUGAUUUUAAGUUCGUAGAAAGUAAAGGUGAAAAUAAGUACUUCAUCACCUUUAUAGAUGAUUGUGUUAGAUUUUGCUAUGUUUAUAUGUUAACUAAUAAAGAUGAGGCUAUGAGCAUGUUCAUCAAGUAUAAAAUUAGUUAGUUUUUUUUUUGGUCAAAACAAGUCUAAAAUGAGGUUGAGAACCACUUUGAUAGAUGAAUCAAAGUGUUUAGGUUUGACAUAGGAAGAUAAUAUAGUUCUUCCAACUUAAAAGAGUUAUGUGCUAGUUUGGGAAUAAUUCUCCAAACAACCAAACCUUAUGCUCCACAGCAAAAUAGAGUUGUUGAAUAGAAGAAUGAAACUCUAAAAGAAAUGGCUAAUGCCAUGGCUCUUGAGUUUGAGUUUACCUUGAAACUUGUAGGGGAAGGCAAUUUUAACUGCAAACUAUAUUCUUAAUAAAGUACUUUAUAAAAAGACAGGUAAGACUUUAUAUGAGUUAUGUAAUGGAAAGUUACGAUCCUACAAAUUUUUUGAAGUGUGGGGGUGCUUAGCCGAAGUGGCAAUUUCUCUUUUGAAAUAAACUCAAUUGGGACCUAAAACAGUGGAUUACAUAUUCAUCGGUUUUACUCAAAAUAACAACGCAUAGAGAUUUUUGGUUUACAAAUCUAAAAUUGUGGAAAUCAUUACUAGUGCUAUCCUAGAAUCAAGGGAUGCUGGAUUCUUUGACAAUAUAUAUCCUACGAAAAGAAAUCAAUAUGAACCUUCUCAGAAGAGAAUUAGAGAAUUGGAAACUGAGAAUGAUGAUGUUGGGUCGAAGAAGUUGAACUUGGAAGGAGCAAGAGGUCAUGGAUUGAAAAAUCUUUCGGACUUCAUUUUCUAACUUACGUGUUAGAAGGUGAGCCUAAACGUUUCAAGAGGCAAUGUCAACUCUAGAUGCAUCUUACUAUAAAGAAGUUGUUCACAAUGAGAUGGAUUCUAUCAUAAGUAAUUGCAGUUGGCAAUUGGUUGAUCUUCCAUCAGGAAUUAAACCAAUUGCAUGUAAAUGGAUCUUCAAAAGAAAGCAUAAAGUUGAUGGUUCCAUAGAUAAGUAUAAAGCACGGCUUGUUGCCAAUGGGUUUAGACAAAGAGAAAGUCUAGACCACUUUAAUACUUAUUCACUUGUAAUAAGUAUAAUAUCAGUUAGAAUGUUGAUUUUUAUAGCCAUGCUAUUCAAUUUAUAGGUAUAUCAAAUGGAUGUGAUAAUUACAUUCUUAAAUGGUGAUCUCAAUGAGAAGAUUCACACGGAAAAAACAUGAAAGAUUCAAGGUCAAAAAACAAGAACACAAACUGUCUAAACUUGUCAAAUCAUUAUAUGGACUUAAACAAGCUCCUUAUGGAAUUAAAAGUUUGAUGUGUGAUGAUCCAAAAUGGGUAUAGUUUCAAUGAGUGUGACAAAUAUGUGUAUACUAAAUCCACGUCAAAUAGAUAUAUACUUAUUUAUCUAUAUGUCGAUGACCUGCUAAUUUUUGGAGAUAACAAUGAGGUUAUUAAAAUCACCAAGAAUGUUCUUAAGAAAAACUUUGUGAUAAAAGACUUAGGUGUUAUGAAUGUUAUAUUCAGCAUCACAAUUCUGGUCUAUAUUUAACACAAUUUUAUUACGUUGAAAAAGUAAUUUAGAGGCUUAAAGGAUUCCACAUUAAAGAUGCGAAUAAUCAUUUUCUUUCACACCUAACUCUAAAAAAGAAUAAUGGAAAUGGUAUUAGAUAGCUAAAGUACUCUUAAGUGAUUGGUAGCAUCAUGUACAUCAUGAAUUGCACUAGAUCGGAUAGUGCAUACUCAGUAGGAAAGCUAAGCUGAUAUACAAGUAAUUUUGAUCGUGAGCAUUGAAAUGCACUUCUGAGAGUGUCGGGUUAUUUGCGAAGAACUAAAACUAAGUUUUACAAUAUGACAAAUAUCCACCUGUUUUAGAAGGCUAUUGUGAUGGCAAUCGGAUUUCGAGUUUCGAUGAAUCAAAAUCAACCAGUGGAUAUGUUUUCAUGGUAGGAGGUGUCGCGGUAUCGUGGAAAUCCUUAAAACAAACUCUAAUAGCGCGCUCCAUAAUGGAAUCAAAGUUUGUUGCUUUGGAUAAAGCCGCUGAAGAAGCAAAGUGGCUUUGGCAACUUUUAGAGGAUGUUCCGUUGUAGCAAAAACAUAUGCCUCUGAUAUGCAUUUACUCUGACAAUCAAGCAGUGAUAGCAAGAGCAUAAAACGUGAUAUAUAAUGGUAAGUCUAGAUACAUUUGUCGUAAACAUAAUACCAUAAAGCAGUUGAUCUCAAAUAAAAUAAUUUCUUUGAACUUUGUGAUGUCAAAGGAAAAUAUUGUGGAUCUGUUGACAAAAGAUUUGCCAAGAGAGUAGGUAAACUACGCAUUGAAGGGAAUGGAGUCAAAAGUCUUAACCUAAUAAAGAGGUUUCAUGGUGGAAACCUAACAUAGUGAUUAGAGAUCCCUAGACUAGGUUUAAUAGGAUAAGACAAAUUUUUGAAACUUUAGUGUGCACACUGUCUCUCACUCCUAUGAUGUAAUAGCGCUUUUUAUAGCAUUUCAAGGGCACGCUAUGCAUUUAAAGAUUCUCAUAGCUAGGAAUACAAUAUCAUAGUGAGGCAUGAUAGGAUAUCUUUAAUAGGAAUGCACCUAGAUGCGUGGAGCUAGUUGCAUGAAUUCUGAGAAGUUUAGGGCUAAUAGAAUUAACAUAAUUGAGAACCAAUCUUGAUUUGGGAAUACCCAAUGUGGGGUCUAUUGUUUGGGCUUACACCAACAACUGGUAGUUUAAGGCCUAGUCCAUUGAGUAAUUAAGUAUGUCCAACAGGUUUUCACUAAAGAAGUUUUAAAGCAAAAACUACCUAUCUUAUUGUAGUAUAUUUCCAUAGGCACAUUUAGUAUUCCUCAAAUCAAAAUGUUUUAUGAUUCAUUAAUGUGGGGGAUUGUUGUAAUUAUGUUGGGUUAAUGGAUCAAUGAAAAUGAGCAAAAUGAGAUAUGUUGCUUUUGUUCACAUACCUCAUUAAUUUUUGUAUCUCUCGAGUUCUUGUAUCUCUUGGAUUUGUGCAUCUACUUAAUUCAUGGUUCAUGUAUCUCCUAAAUUCUCGUAUCCAUUUAAUUCAUGCAUCUUUUAGAUUCUUGUAUCUACUUACUUCAUGGUUCAUGUACCGCUUCUAUAUAUGAAUUCAAAAACUCUAUAAAUGGAUUUGAAAUUCUUCAUUAUGAUAGAACCGAAAACACCUACAUCUCCUCUCUUCGAGUUUCUCUAAGCGCACCGAUUUCAUAAAGUGUUCGACGGACUCCUAUAUAUAUAGUGUUGAUAUCAACAAGUUGGAGGUGUUGUAUUUUGGGAAACGAAAUUUGUGAAGCUACUUAGCAUUGUUGGCAUGAACUAAUCAUUUCAAGGAGAUUCGAUUAGUCAUAACUCACCUCAAAUUACUUUCUCGAAUUUAUUAUUUUUUGGUUACAACGAACAGUGUUCUAUAUUCUUCCCCCAAUAUGUCUCAUCUUCUUCUUCUCAUUCUUCUCUAUAUUUUCAAACGAUGUGUUUACACUCAUGAUUUUUUUCUUUAUUCAUUUUCCGCAAUGGCAACAUGCAAUUUUCCUCUUCAAUUUGAAUCCCGGUUCCGGUUGCCUCUGCAAUGACUCAGGCAUGUCUAACUAGGUUCUAGUGAGGACUUGAUUUCUUCUUGUGGCUCAUAUGAGAAGUGCUUGACGAUUUCAAUUUCUUCUCUCCAUCAUAUGUCUACACCUUUACUUCUUGUUACUGUCAUGGAAGGAUCAGACAACUUAAAGCGAUGAAAACUUUAAUUAAAUCGUAUCUCAUUGCAGGAGUCGCUUUCAGAUCGUAGAUCAAUGGUCGAAGCCACAAAUUUAGGGCACACUAGAACUCUUGUGCUCCAAAAAAAGUUGGUCAAACAAUCAUAGAUUAUAUAAAGGGAAAUUAUGUCUUCUUCACGUCAGUAAGAGAAGGGGAAAAAAAUUGCCGAACCUGGAAUACAAAGGGAAAAAUGAUGAUGAGCACACAAUUUAUCUUCAUGGAGAGACAUAAUCUGUUGGGCCAUAAGGCUCAAACAAUUCAGCAAAGAAUCCCCCCUUUCUCUUUGGGUUCCAUCCUAUGUCUCUGCACAGUUGAUCAUUGUACCAAAUGUGAAGUGCACCAAUGCAUGAUCUUCUAUAGUAUUGACCUGAAGAUCGCUUCAUGUACUUGUUCCACUCUUCUAUAUCCUCCUCCAUCUUCUUAAUGGAAGGUAGCUUGAAUGUACCGGCAAGAAGCUCGGCUAGCCACCUGCACCGUAUCUCUGAUGUGUACAAGUUUGCAACGCUUUCCGAGAACCCGAUCACAGCUAAUUGGGGAAUUCGAGGAUGAAUGCAUUCCCUGAUUAGAUGGAAUCAUAUAAUUUGAGUUGGAGCCAAUAACUAUAGAGAAAUAACACAGGCUACUCAUCUUUUUGCAGAAUUUUCCAUAGCAAAAUGUGCACAAUUUCAUGCUUUGAAGUUUCCUAGCUGCAAUUUUUUAUCAAGAAAGGCAACUCGUAGGGAAAUGCACUUGACAACUUACUCAUGCUCCAUCUGUCGGGAGAUAAAAACAAUCAAUACAGAAGAAUUUACGAUUUUCCCAGUAAAACAAGAAGGAAAAUGAUAUUUUGCAAGGGAGGUAUCGGAAUUUGUCUAUUUAUUCUACCAAAGCAAGACCAGAAGUAUUGAGAAUACAUUAGGACACAUAAGAAACCAAAGACAGUCCCAGGAAAAGUGUUGAGAUGAAUAAUGAGAAACCAAAGACAUUCCCAUAAGAAAAGGUACAAAUAAGUUAGACAAAUUUUCACUUAAAAUGAAGACCAAAAGCUUUCCCUAAACCAAAUGCACCUAAAUCUCUAUAAGAACCCAGGACACAGGAUCAGAUUAACCUUUAGCAGGAGGGAGUUCUUGGGCAGUACCUGUAUAGUGGAACUAUUGAAUUGGGAGAUCCAGAUAAGCAGUCCUUAAACAGUUGGGACUCAAACACAUCUACUAGCUUCUUUUCGCCCCUAAACCCAGUCGCAAGGAUGACCAAGUCUGAAUUCAGCGGCUCGACCUCUCCAUUGAUCGAAAUCCCAUCCUCGCAGAACCUGAAUGCGAGGGCCUUCUUCAAGAUUAUGCUUCCCUCUUCCACUCUGUCAUAGAACUUUUCGGGUACUGUUGAGAUCGCGCAGGAGCUGAUUUCUUGAAGGAAACUGUGUUUCGGCACCAUCCCAAACUUCUUCAACGGAAGUUUUCGCUUAAUGUCGCUUUCGACGAACUUGGAAACUGCCCAUCUCUGUCAUUGAAGUGGGUCAUAUUACAUGAACAGCAUAUAACAGCUAAUGAAUUUAAUCAUAUGAUGCGAUUAGUCUGAAUAAUUCUGAAUCCAAGUUUAUUACUCCAUGUUAAUAAUUCCGAAUCCAAGUUUCUGUGACCAAAAUAACUGGCUCCAUAUUACUAAAUGGCGAAAAAAAAUUCCCCUUGCAGCUCUAAUUAAGAAGGCUCCUCCUGUAUCACUGUAAGAGAACAAAUUGACAUAUGUUUGGAAUGAACAAUCACUGUGAUGAGAAGUUGCAAGAGAUUUAUCUCAUCGUGUACCAAGGGUGAUAAAAGCGUGGCCAAGAGGCUCAACAACAAGCCCUCUCUGGGCUUAUGCACGAGGAGCUCCGAGAAGCGGGUGAGGUAGAGAAGUGCAAGAGGCACGCCCCACGGUAGAUAAUCGGGCACGUUCCAGUGUUCCGUUUUGUACAACACCGUACAGGGUCGCUCCACUCCUUAAGGACAAAAAAUUUCGACAAAAACAAAGUCACUACGAAUCAGCACUUGUCAAAACGAUGAAGCCCGAGGAGCAGCUUGCACAAGGUCAAGAAAAUGUAACAUGACGAUGACUAGGAUUCAGUUUACUAGAAGGGACGUCGGGAUUCAGGCGUUUCACACUUACCAUUAACAGUUGAGCACUCCAUGGCAAUGUCCAAUGCGGAUUUCUGCAGCCCGACGACCACCACUCUCUUGCCACUGACGAACUCCUUUGCAGCUUGGUAGUCCAUAGCUGCGUAGUCCAUGGAGUGGAUCACCUUGCCAUGGAACGCCUCUGGGCCUCUGUUUGGUGGAAACUCUGGUAUAUUCGGAAUGCCACUGAAUCGCCCGACGCAAAGGAUCACAAAGUCCACUUCAUAUGUCUGUCAUUGUCAUUAGAUAGUCAAGCAUAGAAACUAAGAAAUCGCUACCGAGCAAUCAUUAAUCCAAAAUGGAAAUAAAAAUUGUUACGGAUUGCUGGUCUAAAUAGUUAUUAGUAUGAGACAGUUACAUGAAAUUGCAUUUAGGAGAGCAACUGCCAGUUAUACAAUAACAGAAGGCAGAUGCAUACCUCAGUUUCAAGGCUCAGACAAUCCUGCACUCUGAUCUUCCACUUCCCGCCUGAGCGGAAUGGCAUGCCGUCGCCACCCCACAGGCUCCACGACUGCAUCGCCUCAGCAGGUGGCCCGUCAUACCCGAUGCUGAGGACCCUGGUACCGAACUUGACGUGCUUUAGCAGGUUGAAGUGGCAGGCGUAUGACUCCACGUACUCCAGCACUUGAUGUCCAUUGGGGAAAUCCUCGGUGACCGAGUCUGGCCACGGGAAGUCCGAGAACUGGUAGGCUGGUUUGGGGGUCUGGAGCUUUGUGGUCUCCACGGUCUUCGUCCAGACCCCUCCGAUGCUGGUUUCGGACUCAAAGACGAUGGGGUGGAGGCCCUUUGAGAGGGUGUAUUUGCAGGCAAGGAGGCCACUGAUCCCAG